rnacentral:lncRNA from 1 species
CAACUAUCUUGAAUCAUCCCUCCAUACCCUGGCUAGUUCCUGCUAAAUUCUCUCCUCCUGAGAAAAACAAUGGAACAAAAUGGAAAAUGGUGAGCUCAACUAGCCCAGUAAAGAAUAUUAUGACUAAGAUAAUGCAGAAUAAAUUAUCCUUAGCCUUCAACAGUAUAACAACUGAUAGAAUAUAAUAGACAACAAGUUUUAGAUCAACAACUGCAGCGGAAAUAGCAAUCCAUUAGAAGAGUCAAGUAGAGAAUGAGUUCUAUUAUCUUCUAAGAUUUAAAAGUCCAUCAUUAAUAUUUUAUCCCUGUAAUAACAAUCAAUAUACAUCUUGAAUCAAAUAUUCAUCUUUACAAUACAGGCCAAAGAUAUUCAUUUGUAUCAUCAGUUGGUCAUGUUCAUCUCAACACAUGUUCAUCUUUGCACUACGGGCCAAAGAUAUUCAUCAGUUAAUCACUCAUCUUUGCACUACAGGCCAAAGAUAUUUAGUAAUAUCAUCAUUUAGGACUGAGAAUGAUGAAAAAUAUCUUAAAGAAAAUGAAACCAGUAAGACAAAAGAACAAAUAUUAAGAAUUCGUAUUACAGUUUAUCCAAGUUCAAUAAUACUCCAUAAUAACCAAUGGUGAAGCAUAAUUCAAAAAUAAAGAUCAAAACAUAGAUACAAUCAAAGAUAGUAACUAUAAUAGACAUCUUAGACAAAAAGGAGAAAAUUUUAUUUUUCGGUGAAUAGUGCCAUAUUUAUGAAUAGUGCCGUAUACGUGAAUAGUAACCCCAACACAAAAAGGUAGAAAUUCCAUAAUAAAAUUUAUACCAAUAUUUUGACAUAAUGAUAUUGAAAGAAAUAAUAUCAUUUACGAAGAAAAUAACAUCCCUUACCUCAAAAUAACAGUAUUUCUGAUCGGAAUAUCAGAUGUAAUGCCGAAGGAAACUUGCACUGAAUAGCUACUCUCAAAGUAUCUAAAUACUCACAAAAAUAUGCUCAAUAAUAUAGAGAGAGAAAACUUAUGUUUCUGGUGUGAUUUUCAAUUCUAACCUAAGCGCCUAUUUAUAGGAAAAUACUAAAUCGCCAUAAGAGACUAAAUUAAUAAAAUAUUAAUAUUUAAAAAAAAAUUCUACGCACACAUUUUUGACCCAAAUUUCAGCCACCUCAGUGGGGCCCACCAAAAUUAGAUUUUCACACCAACCAAACGUGGGUCCCACCCAUGUUUUUAAUUAAAAAAAUAUUUAUUUUCGAAACUUCAAUAAUUCAUAAUAAAUAGCCCUUUUAUCAAAAAAAUUUGAAUCUCAUAUAUAUUCCAUGGGAAAUUAAAUUCUCUACAACUUUGAAAGUUUAUGUUUUUCCAAAUUCCAAACAGAAAAUGUCCAAAAUUCACAUACGGAUGAUUUUUAAUACCUCCAUUCCGACAAAAUACUGAUAAAAUACCUCAACAUUAAUUCCUUCAAUUAUAUCCACAUAAAAUUAAAUAUUUCCUUCAUUUAUAUCCGCAUAAAAUAAAUAUUUUCUUAUCAUAUAAAUCAAUAAAUAAUUAUUCACAAAUAAUAUUACAGAAUCACAAUAAUGACAACCAGGCCGUUCCCAGGAAAGAGGGGGCUUUUCGAUAAGGAUUUCUCCUUACUGGCGCGCAAUUAGGUGACCAAAACUCUCCUUGACAGAACUUUCUAGACAUUGCCAAUAAUGUUAUCUAAUAAUAUUAUUUAAAUAAUAUGAAUUAUUGAUCUGAUAAUGGGAAAUAUUGUGUCGUGAUAAUUAUUAAAAUAACAAUAAUAUAAAAUAUCAACGCAGCAAUUAUUGAAUCAAUAAAAUAAAAUAUUAAACAGUAAUUACUGUAAUAAUUAUUGAGUAGUGCCUUCUUACGUAAGAAUCAAUAAUUCAAAAAUAUUGUGCAAUACCGCGUGCUGUUGUGCAACCACACGUAUUACUGUAUUUUAACCACCAGGUAUUCUAAUAGUGUUAAUGGUAACAAUUACGUUGUUAUUUAUAAAAACUCAUACUUGUCAUUUUUUUCAUUCGACCAUUUUUCGUUAUGGGGCCCACAAAUGGCUGCGCCAUCGUACGAAUAUUCCACGACCAAACGAAUAUUCCCCGACAACAAUGAAUAUUUUAUAACCACUUGCUAAUUUUGCAAAAUUUGCACAUUUCACCCAUAACCAAAGCAUUAUAUCAAAUUAACACUUUAUUAUUCAAAAAUAAUAAUUAGAGGAAAUUCAAUUUUAUUUAUAAAAAGUUGGGGUCUUACAACCUCCCCUCCUUAUGUGAGUAAUAUUAUUUCGUUUCGUAUUCCUGAUUGUACACUCAUUCUGUUAAAGUAUUGCUUCUAUACUCUGUGAAAUUAGUAGAAUAUCCUUAAUAUUUGCGCUUCAUCCAGUAUCUUUUCAUGGAGAUAUUAUUCUGAGCUUUCUUGAUAAUUAUUGAUCUUUUCAUGCCGGAAUAUUAUUCAUGAGUUAGUAUUUAUGGGUACUAUUCACCCCGUUACUAUUCACUCAAAUAUUAUUCACUUGGAUAUUCGGGGCACUUUUCAUGCCGGAGUACUAUUCACGAGUUACUAUUCAUGGAUUACUAUUCACCCGGUUACUAUUCACACUAGUAUUAUUCACUAGGUUAUUUAGGGCACUUUUCAUGUCGAGAUACUAUUCACGAGUUACUAUUCCCGAAGUACUAUUCACAAGGUACUAUUCACGGGGUACUAUUCACCCGAAAAAUAUAUUUCUUUUCUGUCCAAAUUUUUUUUGAUACAUGAUUAUUAUUCUUGAAUUUUACUCCACAAAGCAGUAUCAUGUUGAUAAUUUGGAUAUUUUUAAACUUUGGAUAAAUUUAAAGUCUUUAAUAUUUAUCUUUGAUUUCGUUUGAUUAAUGCUUAUAUCAUUGUCAUCAUCCUCAUGCUUAUAUUGUGAUGAAAGUCAUCUUUGGCUUACGUGCAUAGAUGGACUGUUGGUUGGUAUGAUUAUGACCAGGGAUCAUUCGGCAUAAUCAUGACCCAUAAUGUUACAGAUGAUGUAUUAAAAGUCAUCAUUGGCCUGUAGUGCAUUGAUGGACAGUUGUUGGUAUGAUUAUGACUAGGGAUUAUUCAGUAUAAUCAUGAAUAUUGAUGAUUACAAGAAUAUCCUUGGCCGUGGUGCAGGGAUGAUUCGAUGAUUUGGAUUAUUUAUUAAGCUGAGUCUCAGUGAUAAAAUUGUUGAAGAACUUUUUAAAUCAUAGAAGAUAGUAGAUUUUAUGCUCUACUUGACUCUUCUAAUGGAUUGCUUAUUCCGCUGUAGUUGUUCAUCUAAAACUUGUUGUCUAUUAUAUCCUAUCAGUUGUUAUACUGUUGAAGGCUAAGGAUAAUUUAUUCUGCAUUAUCUUAGUUAUAAUAUUUCUUACUGGGCUAGUUGAGCUCACCCUUUUCUUUCAUUAUUCUCUUCAAGAAAUGAGAAUAUAGUUGGGACGAGUCGGGGAAUGGAGUGAUGGUCCAGGAUAAGUGGCUUUAGUAGUCCUCAUUAUUCUAUGGAUUAGUGUGAUAAUAAUUGUAAUGAGGACUCCAUUGAGUGUGGAUAUUAUCUAGAAGACAAUAUUCCUAUUAAAGCUCUCAACUAUGUUUUGUCGUAUUUUACACGACAGUUGUAUAAUUAAGUUUAUAAUUGUAUUCUGUACCAUGUAUCUGGCGACUCAAGAUGAGUGAUGUAUACCUAUUUUGGGGGCGUCACAGUCUUAAUAGAUCUUCUAGAGUUUGAAUAGUCCUUUCUGAUUGCCCGUCCGUUUGAGGAUGGUAUGCCGAACUGAAUCAUAAAUCCGUGCCCAUAGCUUUCUGCAAACUAACCCAAAAUCGUGAAGUGAAUCUUGGGUCACGAUCCGAAACUAUGGAUACUGGCAUGCCAUGCAAUCUCACAAUCUCAUUCACGUACAUACGAAAAAGACGUUCAAGGGAAUAAGUCUCCCGUAUCGGCAAGAAAUGAGCAGACUUGGUUAAUCUAUCAACAAUAACCCAAAUUGCAUUUAUGCCUUGAGAAACCUUGGGAAGACCCGUAACAAAAACCAUGGUAACGUGUUCCCACUUCCAUUUUGGAAUCUCAAGUGGUUGCAAUGGACCCUUUGGCACAUGAUGCUCCGCCUUUACACGUUGACAAGUUAAACACCUCGAGAUAAACUUCGCGAUCUCUCUCUUCAUAUUGUUCCACCAAAAUGUUUGUCGAAGAUCAUGAUACAUUUUGGUACUACCGGGAUGGAUUGCAAACGGUGUGUUGUGUGCCUCCAUUAUGAUUUUAUGUUUCAAGUCAGAAUUGUUAGGAACCCAAAGUCUGGAGUUAACUCGAAGUAUUCCUUCUUCAUCGAUUCUUGCUUCUAGAAUAACACCUUCUUGCACUUUCUUCUUCAUACGCAUCAACCCCAGGUCCGUAGCUUGAGCAACUUUAACUUUAUCGAUUAAAGUCAGUUCUACUCGUAUAUUUGACAUCAUCACGUGGGUCCCUAGAGUCUUUUACUCUGUCUCCAUCAUUUGCAAGUCAUACAAAAUGGGCCUUUAUGUUGACAAUAUAGCACUCAUACCCGCGUACGAUCUUCUACUCAAUGCGUCAGCUACUACGUUCGCUUUUCCAAGAUGGUAUUGAAUAGUAUGGUCGUAAUCUUUUAACAGCUCGAGCCAACGUCGUUGCCGCAUGUUGAGUUCCUUUUGGGUGAAGAAAUAUUUGAGGCUUUUAUGAUCCGUAUAGAUCUCCACUUUCUCCCCAUAAAGGUAGUGUCUCCAGAUUUUCAACGCAAAAACGACUGCUGCCAACUCUAGAUCAUGAGUAGGAUAAUUCCUCUCAUAUUCUUUGAGUUGUCACGAGGCAUAGGCUAUGACUUUCCCAUGUUGCAUGAGAACACAUCCUAACCAUUUUCCUGAAGCAUCAUUGUAGAUAACAAAUCCAUCGAACCAGAUGGUAUUGCCAGAACAGGUGUCGAAAUGAGUCUCCUCUUGAGCUCUUGGAAACUCUUCUCGCAUUCCUCGCUCCAUAUGAAUUUUGUAUCUUUCCGAGUCAACUGAGUUAACGGAGUAGCGAUUCGAGAAAAUCCUUCCAUAAAUCUUCGAUAAUAACCAACUAAGCCCAGAAAUCUAUGCACUUCGGUCACCGACUUUGGUUGCUCCCAACUUUGUAUUGCUUCAAUCUUCGUCAGGUCAACAGAUACUCCAUGUUUUGACACCACAUGCCCAAGGAAUGCUACUUCCUCAAGCCAGAACUCGCAUUUCUUUAGCUUGGCAUAUAGCUUAUUUUCAUAAAGCCUUUCAAGUAUCAGCUUCAAAUGGUUCUCAUGAUCUUCACGGCAUUUGGAUUAGAUGAGGAUGUCAUUAAUAAAGACAACAACGAACUGAUCCAAAUAUUCCUUGAAUACUCGGUUCAUCAUAUCCAUGAAAGCAGCAUGAGCAUUAGUUAAUCCAAAAUACAUGACUAAGAAUUCAUAAUGCCCGUACCGAGUUCUGAAGGCAGUCUUCGGAAUAUCCUCAGUUUUAAUCUUCAGCUGAUGACAUCGAGAACGAAGAUCGAUCUUUGAAAAGGAUUUUGCUCCUUAAAAUUGGUCAACCAGGUCAUCAAUGCGAGGCAGCGGAUACCUAUUCUUGAUUGUGACAUGGUUCAAUUCCCGAUAGUCAAUACAAAGUCGCAUACUCCCGUCUUUCUUCUUAAUGAAUAAAAUAGGAGCACCCCAAGGAGAUGUACUAGGACGAAUGAAACCGAUGUCUAACAAAUCCUAUAGUUGGACCUUUAACUCCUGAAGUUCAAAAGGAGCCAUUCGAUAUGGGGUUUUAGAAAUGGGUUUUGUACCCGGUUCAAGGUCAAUAAAGAAUUCAUCUUAACAUUCUGGGGGGUAGACCGGGAAGUUCUUCAGGAAAUACGUCAGGAAAUUCGCUAACAACAAAAAUAUUAUUCAAAUCUGACGUGUCUUUAUUCAAAUCCAUAACAUGGGCUAAAAAAGCUUGACAUCCAUUUUUUAAUAAACGAAUGACUUUAUGGCUUGAUAUGACAGUGAUUGAUUUUAGUGGUUUAGUUGCUUGAAUUCGCAUGACAGGUUGGUUAGGAAUAUGAAAACUAACAACCUUACGAAAAUAAUCAAUUUUGGCAUGAUGAGUGGUUAACCAAUCAAUCCCUAAAAUCACAUCAAAUGCAAGUAUCUUUAAAGAGAUAAGAUCAACAAGUAAUGUGUUUGUGCCAACUUGGAUCAAGCAAGAUUUAUAAACAGUGGAUGUAAUGAAAGUUUCUCCUAACGGAGUUUCAACAGAUAAGUCAAAGUUUGAUUUCUCCGGAGUCAAGUUCAAACAUUGAGCACAAGCAGGAGAGAUAAAAGAAUGGGUAGAACCGGUAUCUAGUAAGGUAUAAACUUCACAAGAGUUUAUGAUUAGCUUACCCGUGAUCACCUCGUUCGGGUUCCUCACGUUUUGGCCAGUCACGACAAAUGCUUUUCCAGGAACCGCUGACUUUGACUUGUCCGGGACAGCCUUUGGAGUCACCAUCCCCGCUGGACUUGGUUUCGCUACAGCACAAUCUCAAGCUAUAUAACCUUCCUUUCCACAAUUGUAACAUACCUUGGAUUGUUGUGGGCAGUUUGGGCUGAUAUGUCCUUCUUUCCCGCAUUUAUAACAUAUGACCGGUGGUCGUUCUCCUCCCCUAGAAACCGUUGAUGUUGGUGCUAACGUCUUCACAUUGUCAUUGUUGUAUCUUCUUUUCUUGAAAUCUCCUCCCUACUCGCUUCUUCUAUUAUCAUGGCCACGAUUAUCACCCGAAUGGUUACCGCUUUUGUCCGUAUUCUUUCCUCCCCGCUGGUUAUCAUUGCUCUGAUGGCUUAUUAUUAUUGUUAUUGUUGUUGUUGUUGUUAUUAUUAUUAUUAUUAUUAUUAUUAUUAUUAUUAUUAUUAUUAUUAUUAUUAUUAUUAUUAUUAGUACUAUUAUUAUUAUUAUUAUUAUCAUUAUUAUUAUUAUUAUUAUUAUUAUUAUUAUUAUUAUUAUUAUUAUUAUUAUUAUUAUUAGUACUAUUAUUAUUAUUAUUAUUAUUAUUAUUAUUAUUAUUAUUAUUAUUAUUAUUACUGUUAUUGUUAUUAUUAUUAUUAUUAUUAUUAUUAUUAUUAUUAUCUUAAUUUAAGGCAACAUUUUAAUAGUCGUUGCAAAAAGUUGUAUAAAAUAUGCAACGAAAAUAAAAAUUAUUGCAAAUGAAUGUGGUCCAUAUUAGGCAACGAAAUAUUGCAACAAAAAAACUUUCGUUGCCCACGAUGAGGAGAAAUCAAGUGGUUAGAAAUUUUGCAAUGAAUUUCUAACGAAUUUUGUUUCCAAAUUUUGCAACUACUUAUGAAUUUCGUUGCAAAAAGUGAAAGUCUGACACAAUCUGCAACGAAGGACAAGUUUCGUUGCUAAACAUACACUUUUAGCAACGACUUAAAAAGUCGUUGCCUAAAAAAUCGUUGCUAAAGCUCCAUUUUUAGCAACAAAAAAGCUUUUGUUGCCCACGAUGACGGGAAAUCAAGCGGCCGAAAAUUUUGCAACGAAUUUCUAACGAAAUUUUUCCCGCCAAUAAAUUAGCAACAAAAUUUUGCAACGACUUAUGAAUUUCGUUGCAAAAAGUGAAAAACUGACACAAUCUGCAACGAAGGACAAAUUUCGUUGCUAAACAUAUACUUUUCGCAACGACUUAUAAGGUCGUUGCCCAAAAAAUCGUUGCUAAAGGCCCAUUUUUUGUAGUGAUCCCUUACCUCAAAAUAACAGUAUUUCUGAUCGGAAUAUCGGAUGUAAUGCCGAAGGAAACUUGCACUGAAUAGCAACUCUCAAAGUAUCUAAAUACUGAAAAAAAAAUACGCUCGAUAAUAUAGAGAGAGAAAACUUAUGUUUCUGGUGUGAUUUCCAAUUCUAACCUAUACGCCUAUUUAUAGGAAAAUGUUAGAACACCAUAGGAGACUAAAUUAAUAAAAUAUUACUAUUUCAAAAAAAUUUCUACGCACACAUUUUUGACCCAAAUUUCAGCCACCACCAGUGGGGCCUACCAAAAUCAGAUUUCCACACCAACCAAAAGUGGGUCCCACCCAUGUUUCUAAUAAAAAAAACAUUUAUUUCCAAAACUUCAAUAAUUUAUAAUAAAUAGCCCUUUUAUCAAAAAAAUUCGAAUCUCAUGUCUAUUCCAUAGGAAAUUAAAUUCUCUACAACUUUGUAAGUUUAAGUUUUUCCAAAUUCCAAACAGAAAAUAUUUGAAAUCCACAUACAGAUGAUUUUUAAUACCUCCAUUCCGGUAAAAUACUGAUAAAACACCUCAACAUUAAUUCUUUCAAUUAUAUCCACAUAAAAAUAAAUAUUUCCUUCAUUUAUAUCCACAUAAAAUAAAUAUUUCAUUAUCAUAUAAAUUAAUAAAUAAUUAUUCACAAAUAAUAUUACAGAAUCACAAUAAUGACAACCAGGCCGUUCCUAGGAAAAAGGGGUCGUUCCUAGGAAAAAGGGGGCUUUUCGAUAAGGAUUUCUCCUUACUAGCGCGCAAUUAGGUGACCAAACCUGUCCUUGACAGAACUUUCUAGACAUUACCAAUAAUGCUAUCUAAUAAUAUUAUUCAAAUAAUAUGAAUUAUAGAUCUGAUAAUGGGAAAUAUUGUGCCGUGACAAUUAUUGAAACAACAAUAAUAUAAAAUAUCAACGCAGCAAUUAUUGAAUCAAUAAAAUAAAAUAUUGAACAGUAAUUACUGUAACAAUUAUUGAGUAGUUCCUUCUUACGUAAAACUCAAUAAUUCAAAAAUACUGUACAAUACCGUGUGCUACUGUGCAACCACGCGUAUUACUGUAUUUUAACCACUAGGUAUUCCAACAGUGUUAACGGUAACAAUUAAGCCAUUUUUUAUAAAAACUGAUACUGUUCGUUUUCUUCAUCCGACCGUUUUCCAUUAUGGGGCCCACAAAUGGCUACGCCGUCGUAUGAAUAUUCCCCGACAACAAGAAUAUUCCACGACCAAACGAAUAUUUCCCGACAACAAUGAAUAUUUUAUAACCACUUGCUUAUUUUGAAAAAUUUGCACAUUUCACUCAUAACCAAGGCAUUAUAUCAAAUUAACACUUUAUUAUUCAAAAAUAAUAAUUAGAGAAAAUUCAAUUUUAUUUAUAAAAAGUUGGCGUCUUACAUUUAAUGUUUCAACGGAUAUCUUCAACGGAUAUAUUUCAAAGACAUCAUAUAUACAAAGCUUCAGCAUAUGAAUAAGAUUAAGCAAGUACUGAACAAAAACGCUGAAGAACACUCAAUGCUCAACUCCACGAUCUGAAAAAGAUAGCUUGCUCAGCUACUCAGUUCUUUUGAACUCAAGCUUAACAGCAACUGAGUAGCACCAUUCAAGAACUCAACUACCAUCAAGUGAAGGAAGAAGUUCCAAGUCAGAAGGACUUAAAAGAGUUCUAAGUGAACUGAGAAGCACCAAGUCUGCUGGACUUGAAGAGUUCAAUAGUGAACUAAGAAGUUCCAAGACUGCUGGUCUUGAAGGAAUCUGUGAGAUUCAGAAGUUGUAAAGAUAUCCUUAAUGAAUUUCCUGCUCAAGGAGUAAAAGAGUGGACUAGAAGCUUUGAAUGCUCUGAACCACUUAAAAUCUAUGUGUCCCAUAUAUUCUUGUCAUAACUGCUAUAACUUUCAUAACUGUUUUACUCCUAUUAAGUCAUUAUAUCUUGAAGAGAAAACAAACAAAUCUUAAUUCCGUUGUGUUUAAAUCAUUAUCAAAACUAAUAAGUAUUUUAUUUAAAAGAAGUUUAAAAAUAUCUAUUCAAACCCCCUUCUAGAUAACUAUUGUGCCUCUGGUAACUAACAAUUGGUAUCAGAGCAGGUUCUAUCAAAUAGCCAAUAAAGCUUAAGUAGAUCCAAUGGCACAUCUGAUAAGCGAAUCAAAGACUGGAGGAGGCAGCAAGCCACCUAUGUGUAACAAAGAUAAGUUCGCCAACUUAAAAGUUUGUAUGCAAGCCUACAUGGAUUCAAUAGAUGAAGAUCUAUUUAAAACUGUUCAAAAUGGGCCCUAUAUUCCUACCAAGCUUGCUCCUACUGUAGACGACCCAAACAGAAUUCAGAUCAAGGUCAAAGAAGAAUGGUUUAACAACGAAAAGAAAGUUGUCCAACUCAACAAAAAGGCCAAGGUCAUUUUAUUCCAAUCUUUAGAAGAUGACCUAUUUAAGAAUGUGGUCAAUAGCAAAACAGCAAAGGAAGUAUGGGAAGCAUUGCUCAUCAUGCAUGAAGGAACAGAAGAAGUUAGAGAAAAUAAGCAAUCUCUCCACACUCAGCAAUAUGAAAUGUUUGCACACGUUCAAGGAGAAAAUGUCACUUCCACCUAUGAAAGAUUCAAUGUAAUGCUCAACUCUCUCCGAGCCUAUGGAAAGAUCUAUCCAAAUAAAGAUCUAAUCAUACAGUUCAUGAGAGCUUUACCUAGCAAGUGGGAUGCCAAAACCAUUGCCAUCAGAGAGUCAAAGAAUCUCCAUGAAAUGAUUGUUCAACAGUUAUAUGGCAACCUUCUCACAUAUGAACUGGAGCUAACUGUGACGUCCCCAAAAUAGGUAUACAUCACCCAUCUUGAGUCGUCAAAUACAUGGUACAAAAUUUAAAUACAACUUAAUAAUACAACUAUCGUGUAAAAUACGACAAAACAUAAACUAAGAGUUUUAAUAUGAAUAUUGUCUUCUAGACAGUAUUUGUGAGAUCCUGAAUUUUAUGAAAUGAAAAUAUUCAAUUUUCUUAUAAUUAUUCUAUUUAGUAAAUGGUUAAAUUGAUAAAAGGUUAAAGUUAAGGGUGAUAUAUGAAAAUUUUGCAAAGUAUGCAAGUUGUUAUAUUAUAUUCGUUUGGUCGGAGAAUAUUCUUUUUAUCGGGGAAUAUCCGUACGACAGCACAAUCAUUGGUGGACCCCACAAUGGAAGUAUUGUCGUAGUUAGAAAACGACAGAAUUAUCUUUUUAUAAAAAUAACGGCGAAAGUGUUACCGUUAAAACUGUUGAACAACCCGGUAGUAAAAGUACAGUAAUACGCGUGGUUGCAUAAUAGGACACGGUAUUGAUUAUUGAUGCUUACGUAAGAAGUCACUCAGUUAUACUCAAUUAUUGCUAUAGUAAUUACUACAUCAUAUCUCUCAUAUUGUUAAUUCAAUUAUUAUCACAGUAUCAUCUGCAUAAUAUGAUAUAUUGUUAAAUCAAUAAUUGAGACGAUAAAGUUAUUCAUAUUAUUAUUUGCAAUAUUGACAAUGUCUAGAAGUUCUGUCAAGGAGAGGUUUGGUCACCUAAUUGCGCGCCAAUAAGGAGAAAUCCUUAUCGGAAAGCCCCCUCUUUCCUGGGAACGACCUGGUUGUUAAAUAUUGUGAGUUAUAAUAUUAAUGAUGAAUAAGUUCGUGUUGAUUAAAGAUGAAAUUGAUAGUUCCAUUGUGUUGGAAUUAUUAGUGUUAGUGGAAAUCGACAUUUAUUUCGAUAAUAAUUGAUGUCUGGAGGUUAUAUUGACCAAUCGGGUAAUUAACCGGAUAAAUGAGCAAUUAAUUGCUAUUAAUUCACAUGAUUAUAACUAUUUGUUCACAUGUGUGUACUAUUGAUUCACAUUCAUUUACUAUUAGGGGAGUUGGUGCAAGAUUGAUAAUACUUGCAUGACUAAGUUAAAAAUGGAGGUAUAAAUGGAGGUACUAUACUAUAAUUUGUAUUUUCACAUGACUAAAACUAUUGAGUCACAUGAUUUACUAUUGAUUCACAUGAUUUACUAUUAAGGAAGGUGGUACAAGUUUGAUAAUACUUACAGAACUAAAUUAAAAUGGAAGAAAAAGAGGAAGGUAUUAUACUGUAAUUUUUCGAGCCCCAAAACGUGCAAUUAUUGAAACUAUAUUUUCCUAUAAAUAGAAGUUCAUUCUUCCUUCAUUUCUCACCAAUUCACUAAAGCUAUAGAGCAAUUAUUAUAGAGAGAAAGAAGAAGAGAAGUCUGCUACCUCACUAUUCCAGUAUCCAGUCUUCUUUUGAGGUAAGGGGUAUUAUUUCUUUUGUAUUCAUGAACAGAGCUUCUGUUAUUCCAUUCUUUAUUAUUCUGUUGGAAUAUCUUGUCUGUGUAUUAUGCAUGACCUGGUUCCAUUCUUUAUUAUUUUGUUGGAAUAUCAUGUCUGUGCGUAUUACGCAUGACCUGGUUCCAUUCUUUAUUAAUAUGUUGGAAUAACCUGUCUAUGCGAAGUACCGCAUACAUGGUGAAAUUCUUCUGUUAUUCCAUUCUUUAUUAUUCUAUUGGAAUAACCUGUCUACGCGGACUACCGCAUGCAUGGUGAAUUCUUCUAUUAUUUCAUUCUUUAUUAUUCUGUUGAAAUAAUUUGUCUAUGUGGAUUACCACAUGCAUGGUGAAUGAUCCUUCGUAUUCAUUUCUUAUUAAAUUGUGAAAAUAAUCUGUCUACGUGGAUUACCGCAUGGCGGGUGAAAAUCUAUUUGCAGUUUUGUAAUUCUUCUGACCCCUAAAAAUUCUGGAAAAAUUUAAAAUGAUAAUUUGAUGAGUUUUCUAGAUUGUAUCCAAAAAUGGUGAUUUUUGGAUGUAUAGAUUAGGAGUUAUGAAUUUUACGGAAAAAAACUAUUUUAAAAGUAAACCCUUAUAACUCCUUGUGGUUAACUCCAAAAUUGGUGAAAUUUGUAUUGGGAGAACAUGUAUAUAAUAGGAGUAUACCCUAUAAAUUUCGAAAUUUUUAGACAAAAAUACAAUUUAUGAUAAAUGUCUAAAUAUUCGGCAGUUUUGGCCAUAUAAAAAAUAGUAAAUGAAUUUUAAAAAUUCCGGAAAAAUAUAUGUUCAAUAUGGGACUAUAUUCUGCUAAAUUCUAGAAAAGAAUAAUUUUUGGGACUGAUUUGGUAUUUUUCAUAAAAAUGGUUUAGUUACGAACAUAUGAAUUAAAUAUGUUAUGUGAAGCUGAAAAAUUGGUAAAUAUGAGUUUAUGGCUUGGAAAUCCUAUAUAAGGUAUAUGCAGAUUUUUGAUGAGUAAUUUGAUCAUUGGUGAUGAAAUCUUAUGAGUAUGGCAUUUUUGAAUGAUUAAAUAUAUUAUUUGGUAAAGUGUAAACAAUUAAAUUAAGUUGUUUAUAAGUUUAAGAAGUGAUUAAAAUAUUGUUAUAAUAUUAACAUUAUUAGAUUAUGAGUUUAUUAAGUGAUUGAUAAUAUUUGGAUAAAUUUAAAGUCUUUAAUAUUUAUCCUUGUUUUUAUUUGAUUAAUGCUUAUAAUAUUGUCAUCAUUCUCAUGCUUAUAUUGUGAUGAAAGUCAUCUUUGGCUUACGUGCAUAGAUGGACUUGGUAUGAUUAUGACCAAGGAUUAUUCGGUAUAAUCAUGACCAUAAUGUGACGAAUGAUGUGGUAAAAGUCCUCAUUGGCCGUAGUGCAUUGAUGGACAGUUGUUGUCAUGAUUAUGACUAGGGAUUAUUCGGUAUAAUCAUGACCAUUGGUGAUUACAUGAAUAUCCUUGGCCCGUAGUGCAAGGAUGAUUCGAUGAUGUGGUUUAUUUAUUAAGCUGAGUCUCAGCGAUAAAGUUGAUAAAAAAAAAAUUUUAAAUCAUAUAAGAUAGUAGAUUUUAUGCUCUACUUGACUCUUCUAAUGGAUUUCGUAUUUUCGUUGCAGUUGUUGAUCUAAAACUUGUUGUCUAUUGUAUUCUAUCAGUUGUUAUACUAUUGAAGGCUAAGGAUAAUUUAUUCUACAUUAUCUUAGUCAUAAUAUUUCUUACUGGGCUAGUUGAGCUCACCCUUUUCUUUCAUUGUUCUCUUCAGGAAAUGAGAAUAUAGCUGGGAUGAGUCGGGGAAUGAAGUGAUGGUCCAGGAUAAGUGGCUUUAGUAGUCCUCACUAUUCUGUGAAAUAGUUUGAUAAUAAUUGUAAUGAGGACUUCAUUGAGUGUGGAUAUUGUCUAGAAGGCAAUAUUCUUGUUUAAACUCUCAGCUAUGUUUUGUCGUAUUUUACACGGCUGUUGUAUAAUUAAGUUGUAUUUGGAUUUAUGUACCAUUUAUCUGGCGACCCAGAAUGGGUGAUGUAUACCUUUUUUGGGGGCGUCACAGUAUUCAAACUCAAAUGGAGUCCACAAUACAUUUAUUAUCACACUAUUUCAUAGAAUAGUGAGAAUUACUAAUGCAAACAUCUAGACCGUCACUCCGUUCCCCGACUAGUCCCGACUACGUUCUCAUUUCCUGAAGAGAACAAUGAAAGCAAAAGGGUGAGCUCAACUAGCCCAGUAAGAAAUAUUAUGACUAAGAUAAUGCAGAAUAAUACAUCGUUAGCCUUCAACAGUGUUAAACUGAUAAAAUAUAACAAACAUCAAGUUUAACUGCUUCGGAACAAGCAAUCCAUUAGAAGAGUCAAGUAGAGCAUGAUAUCUACCAUCUUCUAUGAUUUAAAAGGUUUUUCAUCACUUUUAUCGUUGAGACUCAACUUAAUAAAUAAUUCAUAUCAUUGAAUCACCCCUGCACUACGGCCAAGGAUAUUCAUUAGUUUCACAUCCACGAAUUAUCCAUGCACUACGGGCCAAGGAUAUUCGUGUAUUCAUCAAAGGUCAUGAUCAUGCCAACAACUGUCCAUUAAUGCACUACAGGCCAAUGAGGACUUUUACCACAUCUUUUAUAACAUUACGGUCAUGACUAUACCGAAUAAUCCCUGGUCAUAAUCUUACCAAGUCCAUCUUUGCACUACGGGCCAAAGAUGACUUUCAUAACAAUAUAAGCAUGAGGAUGAUGGCAAUGAUAUAAGAAUUCAAUUAAAUGAAAGCAAAGGAUAAAUUUUUAAAGAUUUAUAAUUUAAUUUAUCUAGAAUUCAAUAAUGCCCAAAUUGUCAACAUGAUACUGCUUUGUGGAGUAAAAUUCAAGAAUAAUAUUGUAUCAAAAAUAAUUUGGACCGAAAAGAAAUCAAUUUUUAUCAUGAAUAGUGCCCCGGGUGAAUAGUACUCGAGUGAAUAGUAUCCCAUGAAUAGUAAUUCGGGAAUAGUACCCCAUGAAUAGUACUCCGGUAUGAAAAAAUUAAAACUUAUCAAGAAUGUUCAAAAUAAUAUUUUCAUAAAAAGAUACUGGAUGAAAAGUAAAUUUUAAGGAAAUUCUACUAAUUUCAUGGAGUAUAGAAGCCAAACCUUUAACAAAAUGAGUAUAGAAUUCAGAAUCUGAAACGAAAUAAUAUUACUUACAUACUACAGAGUAUAGAAAAAAAUAUUAUUUUAUACGAAUAUUGAACAAAAAUAACAUCCCUUACCUUGAAAAGAAGAGUAUUCCAACUAGUAUAGCGGGGAUAUAGAAGAAGAAUUCUUCGAUUCUGGUGUGAUUUUCAAUUCUAACUAAGCAUCUUAUUUAUAGGAGAAUGGAAAAGGUACUAUUUAAAAAAAAAAUCACGGACGCAACAGUGGCCAUCACGAGUUUACAAAAUUUUCGUCUGAGUUUUCAUAUUUUUUACUAUACAAACACUAUGCAUAAUAAAAUAUAAUAUAUUCUAUUUUUCAUAAAAAAAAAAACAAAACUUAUUAUAAUAUAUAAUAAUAAUUCAUCCUUCCACCAAUUUCCCGUGACAAUCAGAUUCCCCCCCUCCAAAUUCAUUUUUCUUCCAGUGGGCCCCAUAUAUGGCCCCCACCUUAAUUAUAUCGAAUAACUUUCUAUCGAUUAUUUUGAAAAAUGGGUAAAUGGGGUCCAUAAAAUAAGCAAAAUUUACAUCAAAUACUUCAUAAAAAUUCCUUCAAUAUUUUUAACAACAUUUAUUCAUCAUUAUUAUUAUUCGCAAUAUUUAACAACCAAAUCAUUCCCAAGAAAGAGGGGGCUUUUCAAUAAGGAUUUCUCCCUAUUGGCGCGCAAUUAGGUGACCAAACCUCUCCUUGACAAAACUUUCUAGACAUCAUCAAUAUUGCAAAUAAUAAUGUGAAUAAUUGUAUCAUCUUAAUUAUUAACUUAAUAAUAUAUAAAAUAUUGACAAUAAUUGAAUCAAAUAACGUGAGAUACUAUGCAGUAAUUACUGUAGCAAUAAUUGAGUAAAACUGAGUGACUUCUCACGUAACGUAAGCAUCAAUAAUCAAUACCGUGUGUUACUAUGAAACCACGCGUAUUACUGUACUUUUCAUCACCGGUUAAUUCGACAGUUUAACGGUAAAACUUUUGCCGUUAUUUUUAUAAAAAGAUAUUUCUGUCUUUUCUCAUUCCGACAAUAAUUCCGUUGUAGGGUCCACCAAUGAUUGUGCCGUCGUACGAACAUUCCCUGCUAAAACGAAUAUUCCCCGACCAAUCGAAUAUUUUAUGACAACUUGCAUACUUUACAAAAUUUAUAAAUACUACCCACAACUAUAACAUUAUAUCAAAUCCAUACCAUAAUACUUCAAAAAAUAUUUUGAGAAAAUUAAUCUUUAUUCACAAAAUUUGGGGUCUUACAACCUCCCCUUCUUAUGAAAUUUCCCCCUUGAAAUUAGGGUACAUACCUGGUAUGACGAAUAGGUGAUGAUACCUUGAUUUCAUUUCAGAUUCUAACUCCCAUGUCAUUUCCUCAACAUCAUGGUUUCUCCACAAAACUUUGACUUGAGGUAUAACCUUGGAGCGUAAAAUAUGUUCCUUCUUAUCCAAGAUUUCAAUAGGUAACUCUUAAUAAAUUAAAUCUUCCGCUAUCUCGUCUAGUUCUAAUUCAAUAAUGUGGUUCGGGUCUUUCACAUAUUUAUGUAACAUAGAUAUGUGAAAAAUGUUAUGAACACGAGACAUACUUGGCGGUAAGGCGAGUCUAUAGGCCACAGUUCCUACUCGAUCGAGAAUUAAAAAUGGGCCAAUGAAUCGAGGAUUGAGCUUUCUUCUCUUUCCAAAUCACGUAACUCCUUUCUAUGGAACAACACGUAACAACACAUGAUCUCCAAUAUUGAAUUCCACGUCCUUUCGAUGAAGAUCAGCAUAACUCUUUUGUCAAUCUUGUGAGGUUUUUAUACGUUAUCGGAUCGUUUGAAUAUUUUCCGUAGUCAUACGUACCAACUCCGGUCCCAACAUGUUUCUUCACCCACCUCAUCCCAGCAUACUGGAGAACGACACUUUCUUCCAUACAACGCCUCAAAUGGAGCCAUGCCAAUACUUGCUUGAUAACUGUUGUUGUAGGAAAACUCCACCAAUGGUAAGAACUUGUCCCAACUUCUCUUGAAGUCGAGGACACAGAGUCUUAAUAGAUCUUCAAGAGUUUGAAUAGUCCUCUCUAACUGCCCGUCCGUUUGAGGAUGAUAUGCCGAACUAAAUCGUAAAUCCGUGCCCAUAGCUUUUUCUAAACUAACCCAAAAUCUUGAAGUGAAUCUUAGGUCUCGGUCAGAAACUAUGGAUACUGGCAUACCAUGCAAUCUUACAAUCUUGUUUAUGUACAUACGAGCAAGACUUUCAAGUGUAUAAGUUUCUCGUAUUGGUAAGAAAUGAGCAGACUUGGUCAAUCUAUCAACAAUGACCCAAAUCGCAUCUAUGCCUUGAGAAACCUUGGGAAGACUAGUAAUGAAAUCCAUGGUAAUGUGCUCCCACUUCCAUUCUAGAAUUUCAAGUGGUUGCAAUGGACCUUUGGGAACUUGAUGUUCCGCCUUGACUCGUUGACAAGUUAAACACCUUGAGAAAAACCCCGCUAUCUCUCUCUUCAUAUUGCUCCACCAAAAUGUAUGUCGAAGAUCAUGAUACAUUUUGGUACUCCCAGGAUUAUUUGCAAAUAGUGUGUUGUGCGCCUCCAUCAUGAUUUUAUACUUUAAAUCAAGGUCGUUAAGAACACAAAGUCUGGAGUUGACUCUAAGUAUUCCUUCUUCAUCGAUUCUUGCUUCCGAAAUAGCACCUUCUUGUACUUUCUUCCUCAUACGCAUCAACUCCAGGUCUGUAACUUGAGCAGCUUUAACUUUAUAGAUUAAAUUCGGUUCUACUCAUAUAUUUGCCAUCAUCGUGUGGGUCCUUGGAGUCUUUAACUCUAUCUCCAUCCUUUUCAAGUCAUAUAAGAUGGGUCUUUGCGUUGACAAUAUCGCACUCAUACCUGUAUAUGAUCUUCUACUCAAUGCGUCAGCUACCAUGUUCGCUUUUCCAAGAUGGUAUUGAAUGGUAUGAUCAUAAUUUUUUAAUAGUUCAAGCCAACGUCGUUGUCGCAUGUUGAGUUACUUUUGGGUGAAGAAAUAUUUGAGGCUUUUAUGAUCCGUAUAGAUCUCCACCUUCUCUCCAUACAGGAAAUGCCUCCAGAUUUUUAGUGCAAAAACGACUGCUGCCAACUCUAGAUCAAGAGUAGGAUAAUUCCUCUCAUAUUCUUUGAGUUGUCGUGAGGCAUAGGCUAUGAAUUUCCCAUGUUGCAUGAGAACACAUCCUAACCCUUUGCCCGAAGCAUCACUGUAGAUGACAAAUCCCUCCGAGCCAGAUGGUAUUGUCAGAACAGGUGCUGAAAUGAGUCUCCUUUUGAGUUCUUGAAAACUCUUAUCACAUUCCUCGCUCUAACCAAAUUUUGUAUCUUUUCGAGUCAGCUAAGUUAAUGGAGUAGCAAUUUGAGAAAAUCUUCCACGAAUCUCCGAUAAUAACAGCUAAGCCGAUAAAGCUACGUACUUCAGUCACUGACUUAGGUUGCUCCAACUUUGAAUUGCUUCAAUCUUUGUCUGGUCAACAGAUAUUCCAUGAUUUGAUAUCAUGUGCCCAACGAAUGCAACUUCCUCAAGCCAGAACUCGCAUUUCUUCAACUUGGCAUAAAGCUUGUUUUCACGAAGCUUUUGGAGUAUCAGCCUCAAGUGUUGUUCAUGAUCUUCACGGCUUUAGGAGUAAAUGAGGAUGUCAUCAAUAAAGACGACCAUAAAUUGAUCCAAAUAUUCCUUGAAUACUCGGUUCAUCAUAUCCAUGAAGGCAGCAAGAGCAUUAGUCAAUCCAAAAGACAUGACUACAAAUUCAUAAUGCCCGUACCGAGUUCUGAACGCCGUCUUUAGAAUGUCAUCGGUUUUAAUCUUUAAUUGAUGAUAUCCAGAACGAAGAUCGAUCUUUAAAAAGAAUUUGGCACCUUGUAAUUGGUCAAACAGGUCAUCAAUACGUGGCAACGGGUGCCUAUUUUUGAUGGUGACAUGAUUCAACUCCCGAUAAUCAAUACAAAGUCGCAUACUCCCAUCUUUCUUCUUUAUGAAUAGAACAGGAGCACCCCAAGGAGACGUACUAGGAUGAAUGAAACCGAUGUCUAACAAUUCCUAUAUUUAGGUUUUUAACUCCUGAAGUUUAAUAGGAGCCAUUCGAUAUGGGACUUUGGAAAUGGGUCUUGUACCGGGUUCAAGGUCAAUACAAAACUCAAUUUCACGCUCUGGGGGUAGGCCAGGAAGUUCUUCAAGGAACAUGUCAGGAAAUUUAUUAACAAUAGAAAUAUCAUUCAAAUCUGACGUAUUUUUGUUUAAAUCUGUGACAUGGGCUAAGAAAGCUUGACAUCCAUUUUUUAAUAAAUGAAUAGCUUUAUGGCUUGAUAUGACAGCGAUUGACUUUAGUGGUUUGGUUGCUUGAAUUCGCAUAAUAGGUUGGUUAGGAAUAUGAAAACUAACAACCUUGCGAAAAUAAUAAAUUUUAGCAUGAUGAGUAGUUAACUAAUCCCUAAAAUCACAUCAAAUGCAAGUAUUUUUAAGGAAAUAAGAUCAACAGGAAAUGUGAGGGUACCGAUUUGAACCAAACAAGACUUAUAGUUGAUGUAAUGAAGGUUUCUCCCAACAAAGUUUCUACGGAUAAGUCAAAGUCUAAUUUCUCCGGAGUCAAAUUUAAACGUUGAGCGCAAGUAGGAGAAAUAAAAGAAUGGGUAGAACCGGUAUCUAAUAAGGUAUAGACUUCACUAGAGUUUAUUAUUAGCUUACUCGUGAUGACCUCGUUUGGGUUCCUUGCUUUCUGGGAGGUCACAAAAAAUGCUCUCCCUUGUACUACUGGUUUUGACUUCUAUGGGACGGCCUUUGGUGCCUCCAUCCCAGCUGAACUUGGCUUUACUGUACGAUAAAAUCAAGCUAGGUGAUCUUCUCUUCCACAAUUAUAACACGUUUUGGACUGCUGCGCAGAGUUUGGACUGAUGUGUCCCUCCCCUCCACAUUUAUAGCAUACGAUCGUUGGUCGUUCUCCUUCCUUAACAAUGGGUGCUGGUGCUAACGUCUUUCCAUCAUUGUUGAAUCUCCUUUUCUUGAAAUUUCCACUUUUAUUAUCUUGGCCAUGAUUACCACCGAAGUAGUUACCAUAUCUGGCAUGUUGAUUCCCUCCACGUUUGUUGCCACCGCUUCAAUGACUGCUACCACUGGUAUUAUCAUUUUGCCGGCUACUCUCUCUUGGUUGAGUUGACUCGUUAUCGCACUCCAAUAACUGCGCCCUAUUAACAACAUCUGAAUACAAACAAAGUUUGUGAGACAUGAGGUAUUAAUGUAUCUCGGGUUUCAAACCUCUUAGAAACAUCCGCGUCAUUCUCUCCUCAUUAUCAACCAAGUGGGACGCAAACUGGGACAAAUCGGAAAACUUAGCUUCGUACUGUGACACGGUCAUAUUGUUUUGCUCCAGCUUAAUGAACUCAACCUCCUUCAUGUGACGAAUACUUUCGGGAAAGUACUUAUCAUUGAACAAUUCCUAGAACUUCUCCCAAGACAUCUUCAGUGCGGUAGGUUGGGUACGUUUUACAGAUUCGCACCAAUGAUCUGCCUCUCCUCGCAACAUGAAGGUGCAAAGGGAACCUUUUGCUCCUUGGAGCAUCCCAAGACAUCAAAUAUCUUGGUGAUCUGCUUUAAUCACGUCUCCGCCUUAAGUGGUUCUGGCUUUCCCAAAAACUCCGGUGGUCCCAGCUCUUUGAAUUGCUUAGCGGUGACCGUCCGAGAAUUGCUAGUGUUUCCACCUGCAUUUUGAACAGGAGUCUCUCUUGCCUGAUGUUGCACGAAUUGCAGAAAGCUUCUGAAUAUUCUGUCGUUCAUCAUUUGGUCGGUAUUGUUGUUUGUAUGAGGAUUGUUGCCUUCCUGAUGCACAUUAUCCUGGUUAUUGAUCGUUGGUGAUUCAACGGUCUCAUGUGCUCCAUUGUUAUUCUCAAAAUUCUUGAAUGUCAUUUUCAAAUACUACCACAAAACAAGGGUUAAUUAACAUGCAACAUAUUAUCCCUAUAUUCUGACCGACCAAUUAAAUAACAAAUAAACUUAGGUAGGUCAUACUAGCGAAGGAAUUACUCAUCUCUCCCCUCCUAGUUCUAGUCUCACAUCUCAUCCAGGGAUCAUAUCCCUAAGCUUUGAUACCAACUGUGACGCCCGAAAAAUAGGUAUACAUCACUCAUCUUGAGUCGCCAAAUACAUGAUACAAAAUUCAAAUACAACUGUCGUGUAAAAUACAACAAAACAUAAACUGAGAGUUUUAAUACUAAUAUUGUCUUCUAGACAGUAUUAAAACUCAAAUGGAGUCCUCAAUACAUUUAUUAUCACACUAUUUCAUAGAAUGGUGAGGACUACUAAUGCAAACAUUUGGACCAUCACUCCGUUCCCUGACUAGUCCCGGCUACGUUCUCAUUUCCUGAAGAGAACAAUGAAAGCAAAAGGGUGAGCUCAACUAGCCCAGUAAAAAAUAUUAUGACUAAGAUAAUGCAAAAUAAUUUAUCGUUAGCCUUCAACAGUGUUAAACUGAUAAAAUAUAACAAACAUCAAGUUUAACUGCAGCGGAACAAGCAAUCCAUUAGAAGAGUCAAGUAGAGCAUGAUAUCUACUAUCUUCUAUAAUUUAAAAGGUUUUUCAUCACUUUUAUCGCUGAGACUCAGCUUAAUAAACAAUCCACAUCAUCGAAUUACUCAUGCACUACGGCCAAGGAUAUUAUUGGAGAAUGGAAAGGGUACUAUUUGAAAAAGAAAUCACGGACGCAACAGUGGCCAUCACGAGUUUACAAAAUUUUCGUCUGAGUUUUCAUAUUUUUUACUAUGCAGGCACUAUACAUAAUAAAAUAUAAUAUAUUAUAUUUUUCAUAAAAAAUAAAACUUAUUAUAAUAUAUAUAAUAAUAAUUCAUCCUUCCACCAAUUUCCCAUGACAAUUAGAUUCCCCCCUCCAAAUUCAUUUUUCUUUCAGUGGGUCCCACAUGUGGCCCCCACAUGUAGUCCCCACCUUAAUUAUACCAAAUAACUUUCUACCGAUUAUUUUGAAAAAUGGGUAAAUUGGGGUCCAUAAAAUAAGCAAAAUUUACAUCAAAUACUUCAUAAAAAUUCCUUCAAUAUUUUUAACAAUAUUUAUUCAUCAUUAUUAUUAUUUACAAUAUUUAACAACCAAAUCAUUCCCAAGAAAGAGGGGGCUUUCCAAUAAGGAUUUCUCCCUAUUGGCGCGUAAUUAGGUGACCAAACCUCUCCUUGACAGAACUUUCUAGACAUCGUCAAUAUUGCAAAUAAUAAUGUGAAUAAUUGUAUCGUCUCAAUUAUUGACUUAAUAAUAUAUAAAAUAUUGACAAUAAUUGAAUCAAAUAACGUGAGAUACUAUGCAGCAAUUACUGUAGCAAUAAUUGAGUAAAACUGAGUGACUUCUCACCUAAGCAUCAAUAAUCAAUACCAUGUGCUACUAUGCAACCACGCGUAUUACUGUACUUUUCAUCACCGGGUAAUUCGACAGUUUAACGAUAAAACUUCCGCCGUUAUUUUUAUAGAAAGAUAUUUCUAUCGUUUUCUUAUUCCGAAAAUAAUUCUGUUGUGGGGUUCUCCAAUGAUUGUGCCGUUGUACGAAUAUUUCCAGCUAAAAUGAAUAUUCCCUGACCAAUCGAAUAUUUUAUGACAACUUUCAUACUUUGCAAAAUUUAUAAAUACUACCCACAACUAUAACAUUAUAUCAAAUCCACACCAUAAUACUUAAAAAAAUAUUUUGAGAAAAUUAAUCUUUAUUCACAAAAUAUGGGGUCUUACACUGACUCAACGAGCAGAAACUCUAUCUGAAGGAAGAAAGAAAGACAAAGGGGUUGCUCUCAAAGCAACAGAUAACAUCUCCAAAGCCAACACUAAAAAUGACUCUGACUAUGAUGAAGAUGAUGAUGAGGACUUUGCUAUGCUGGUAAGAAGACUUAGAAGGUUCAUACGCCAAGGCAGAAUUAGCAAACCUAAGAAAAUCAACAACUACAACAGUUAGGAGAAAAUAAACGACUUAUGCUACAACUGCAAAAAGCCUGGUCAUUUCAUUGCAAACUGCAACAAGCCUCUCAGAGAAGAACUCAAGAAAAGAUCAAAUUCAAAGAAAGAAUUCAAAGGCAACAAGAGGCUCCAGAAGAAAGAUAAAGGUCUUGAGGCUGGAGGAUCGUGGAGUGACUCAGACAACGACUCAACUCCCGAAUCUGGAGAUGAUGAAGAUCCUCAAGUGGCAAAUCUUUGUCCGAUGGCCAAACAUACAAAGGAUAAGAAGAAAUCUGACAUACAUGAAGUAAGUAUAGAUGAUGUAUUUGACUUUAACUCUCCUGAUGUAGACAUUGAUGACUUAAGAACUGCUCUACAUGGCAUAACAUCUGAUCUACAUCAAUACAUGAAAUGUUUCAGAGUUCUGUCCAAAUACUAUUCUCUUCUUCAAAAAAGAGAAAGUUCAGGAAGAACUAGAAACAGUUCUUCUAAGUACUAACUUUGUCUCCAAAUUUGAAGCUUAGGAUAAGUUUUUAAAACAGACCAAUGAACUUAAUGCACAAAGAGAGUCAAGUCUGACCUCUAAAAUUGAGGAACUAGAAAGGACAAUCUCUACAUGGAAUAAAUCCUCUUCUUCCAUGGACUCUCUGAUCUCCAGUCAGAGAAGUGCAUCUGACAGAACAUGUUUAGGUUUUGGGGAACCCACCUCAGAACCAUAUGUGGAAAAGAUAAAGGAAAUUAGUUCUAGUAAUGUUUCAAAUUUUAGUAGAAGCAUUACAUUUGUGAAAUCCUCACAUAAGGAAGAACCAAUCCAACCCUCCUCUUCAAAUCCACCCUAUGCUCCAAAGAAUAAAGGAUCUCAUGAUGGCCUAGGUUUUAGAAAAGAGAAGAGUAACUCAGUCUUUACUCUCCAACCUCGAAGGAUCGUAGAGUCGAGUAAAAUCGACUCCAUGAACCAACUAGGAAGGAACAGAAGAGUUAAGCCUCAUUCUUCACAAGUCAUGAAACACAAGGACACAUGGAAAAAGGAGAAUAAGUAUAAAGGAAGAAUUGCUGAAAACCAACAUAAGUCCAAAUGGAGGAAGAAUCCAAACACACACACACACAAGCAUGCAUUAUAUUAGAUAUUUUGUAUGUAAUAAGACUGGUCAUAAGGCUGCAAUAUGCUACCAUAAUCUUAUGCAUGUAAAACCUAGAAUUAAGCAAAUCUGGGUUCCCAAGGGUACUAACAAAGUAGGACCCAUGCAAGUAUGGGUACCAAAAUGAGAGUUUUACCUUACCACAGGAACCAAGCUCCACGAUCACAACCUGGUAUCUGGACAGUGGAUGCUCAAGGCAUAUGACAGGGAAUAAAGCCCUUCUGUCUAAUUACAUAGAGAAUGAAGGUCCGUCAGUCAUCUUCGGAGACAAUAGCUCUGGCACGACAAGAGGAUAUGGCUCAACUUGGAAUGGUGCAGUAUCUUUCAGUAAAGUAGCCUAUGUGGAAGGUUUACAACACAAUCUUCUGAGCAUAAGCCAACUCUGCGAUAAGGGUCACCAAGUCACUUUUCUCAACAAUCAAUGUCAAGUCAGAGACCUGAAGACAUUCUCUAUAAAGCUGACUGGAACAAGAAAAGUCAAUGUCUAUACUGUCAAUCUUGAUCAACUAAGCUCAGAUGAGACGAUAUGAUUUCUGGCCAAAGCAUCUGAAGAAAUGAGCUAGUUAUGGCAUAGAAGAUUGUCUCAUCUCAACUUCAAAAGCAUGUCUAAACUGGCCUCCAAGGAUCUAGUAGCAGGCUUACCCAAGUUUAGCUUCGUCAAAGAAAGGCCAUGCAAUGCCUGUCAACUUGGAAAACAGACUAGAAGCUCAUUUAAGAGCAAAACUGUCAACUCAAUUGACAAACCUCUGCAGUUGCUUCAUAUGGAUCUAUUUGGGCCAAUUCCAAUAACAAGCCUUGGAGGGAAGAGAUACUCACUGGUCGUAGUGGAUGACUAUACCAGAUUAACAUGGGUGUUCUUUCUAAACUCAAAAGAUGAAACUAGCUCCCAAUUAAUCAAAAUAUUCAGACUAGUGAUGAACGAGAGGGGAGAAAAUCAAGGCUAUAAGGAGUGAUAAUGGCAGAGAAUUCGACUUCUCUGAAAUAGACAAAUUCUGCACAGACAAUGGCAUCAAUCACAACUUCUCAGCUCCACGAACCCCUAAACAAAACGGAGUAGCUGAGAGAAAGAACAGAUGUAGCAAUCCAGAAUUUUAUUUAUAAUUCUAAAUAUUUACUGAAUUAAAUAAAUAUUUUUAAUUGAUGUGUUUGUUGUUUAGUAGAUAUUUAUUGGAUUAUUUAUUAGUAAGUAAAUAAUCCAUGAGUUAUAGAAAUUAACUUAAUUAAGAUAAAAGAGUGAAGAAUGUGACGAUUUGAUUAUUGGAGUUGUGAUUCUGGGGACAGAAUCCUUGUAAGGAGGGAAGGAUGUAAUGAUCUGGAAUUUUAAAUUGUAAUAUUAAAUAUUUAUUAAAAUAUAAAUAUUUAUUUGAUGUGUUUAUUGUUGAAAUUGAUGAGAUAAAUAUUUUAUUGAUGUAAUGGUUGCUAGUAAAUAUUUAUGAAUCUAAAUUCAUUAGAUAAUAUUCUAAAUUAAAUUAAUUUAUAAUUUAGAGAGUUGUAAUAUAACAUGAGAUGUUAUAUUGUUGUUUUAAUUUAAUAAUUUAAGGUGGUAUAUUAAGUUAUUAAAUAAAAUUAUAAUGAAAUUAUAAUUUUGUGAUAUUUGGUUAAGUGGGAAAUUUAUUUAGUAUGUGGUAAUUAGUUUAUUUAAUUAAGAUUGGAUAUGGAAAUCCAAGUAAACAAUGCGGGACAAUAAACUAUAUUAUAAAUGACUUAUGAAAAUAAAUUAAAAGAGUUUUAAUUUGGUUUUACCAAACAAAGCCUUAGAGCUUUUAAAAUUCUUAUUUUAAUCUUGUUUUGCCAAACAAGGUUUAAGGAAUGAUUAAGUCAUUAUUUUAAGUGGUUUUACCAAACAAGGUAUAAGGAUUAAUUGAUUAAUUUUAAUUAUGUUAGCCAAACAAGCCUUAUGGCUUUUGAUUUUCAAAAUUUGAUAACUGAUGUCAAUUAAAGUUAUAUACUUAAUAUCUAUAUUAUUAUUAUUAUACGUUAUAUUUUUGUUAGUGCGUAAGUUAGAAGUUAGGGAGAAAGACUCAGAAGAAAGAAAAAGAAGAAAAGAAGAAAUUGAGAGAAAACUUGAGAGAAUCCUAGAGAGAUUUUGAGAAAGGAAUUGGGGAAAAGAAGUCUUGUUGAUCAAAGGAAGAAAAUUUUCACCUUCUAGCAUACAAGGUAUCCUCUUACCCUUUUAAAAUUCUAAAAGUUGUGGUUGUCUUCUCUUCCAAAAUUCUCUGUAAAAUCUUUGUAGAGGUUGAAUUAAUUGUUAUAUAUAGUUUAUAUGAUAAAUUAGUUGUUGUGAAACUGUUUUCAUAAGUUUAUAUAUGAGUAUAGUCAAUGAAUUCAUGUUAUGUAUGUUAUGGCUUAGUUGGAGUCAAAGUUUAGUUAUGAAAUCAUGAUGAAAACCUUAAAUUGAUGAUGUAUUCUGAUAGUACUUGGAAAAACGAAAACAACCCAAGUUGAACGAGUCAAAACGGAUGUAAAACGAAUUCACAGUGAAGAAUUUCGCUAUGAAUGUCAAAAGAAGAGGUAAUAAGAGAAAUAGUAAAAUUAAAGGUUGUAAUCUUUGAUGUUUAUGUUGUUUAUGUGGUUAGAAACGUGUUAGAAACAUUAGUUGAUGUUUCUGUAAACAUAUUACACCUUGGGUAGGUUGGUAUGGUUGUUAGAAAGGAGUUUGUAGGCCUAAUUUGGCUUUCUAUAGUGUUCGGGAUCGAAAUUCACGAUUUAGCAGAAGGGACCCCCGUCCCGGCGGGCCCCCCUAGUGUAAAAACCCCCGCCCCGGCGGGGGGGGGGGUAGUCUGCCUAGCCAAUUUUGGAAAAAAAAAUCUGACAGGACAUAUUUUACUAAAAUAGCCAUAACUUUUUCAUACGAACUCCGAUUGAGGUGAUUCAAGAUGAUCCGGAACGAGGACGAAUAGACCUACAACUUUUGUUCUUUAAGUUUUUCAAUUUGAGGUCGUUAGGAAGGGUCAAAACAGUCAUAUUUGUGACUAUUACGUAAUCAGAGGCAAUUGGAGGGCGUCGGGCAUGUACGUAUGCUAGUGUAAUGCUCUUGACGAUAAAAGAUGUUGUUCUAAAUUAUAAAACAUGAAUGUUAGUAAAUAUAAUGAUGUUUAACAUUAAUAUAAUAAUGUAUUAGAUAAGUUAUAGAAGCAUAGUAAGCAUGCACAAGAGAGGCAAAUCGGGCGUGUGACGAAUAAACGUCGAAACGCCGUGAUACGUGUUAAUGAACGUAAAAAGUGUUUUAAGUAAAAUGAAAUAGAUAUUAUAAAAUAUGAAAUGGGUUUAAUAUAAAACCAAUAAUGAUACCUAGCAAGAUUUAAACAUUUAAUUGAAUUUUAAAUAUUACAUAAGUCGAAAAGUUAACACAAUCUAAUUUAACAUUGUAUGCUAACUAAUAGGAAAGAUUAUGAGAUGUGGAGUAGAGUUUACAUUAAAAUUACUAUGUGUUGUUAUGUGAUUAAUAAUUGAUGUAUAUGAUUAUAUAAUUGUGUAGGGCACGUGAAGUGCAGAUAACUGUAAGUUGUUAAACGUUUAUUGGUAAACAACAAUCAAGGCAAGUCUUUCAGUUCCUAUUUGCUAUGUGAGCUUGAUGAUUAACUGUUUUAAAUAUUUGUUGUAAAGAGUAUGAGGUGUAUAUAUAUGUUGAAUGUAUGAAAUGUUAAAGUUAAUUUAUGACUACGCUGUUUGACUAAAGCAUGCUGAUUGAGUAAGGAACUCAAUCUUUAUAAUUGUUAUAAGAAUUGUAGCAUGUAUGUUAUAAUAGUCCGAUGUUCAUGAGAUAUAUGUUGAGCAUAUUAUUGUAUGCUACGUGAUGCAUGAAAACUGUUAGAUUUUGCUGGGCUGUCGAGCUCAACCUUGCAAAUAAUCACUUUUGCAGGUUAAAGAUUUAAGGCAAGGAUAUGUGCUAUGUGAAAUAUAGAGAUCCAUAUUCACGAAGAUUGCUUAUGUUUUAUGGGAAAUGUAUUUAAUAUUUUGAAUGUAACAUGUUGUUGAAUUGUAAGUUGAGUUAUCCGAUGUAUAUGGAUACCUAUUUAUGAUGUAAGACUUUGUAUAGUUAUUUUGUUGUAACGAUUCACGAUAUAAAUUUGAAUCGAAGAGAUAUAAUGUAAAGGUUACGAUUUAGGGCAAUAAAGAAAGAAAUGUAUAAAAGUUUUAAUUAUUCCACAAAUUUCAAUGGUUGUAUUACCGUUUAAUGAUGUAAAAUUAGGUUGAUUGUAUUAUUAACGACCGAAGUCGAGAAUUAAAUUGUAUGAAUUUUGGGGUCAUUACAACAGAACAUUGAUAGAGGCUGGAAGAACUCUACUAGCAGCAGCCCAUCUGUCUGAAUACUUCUGGUCAGAAGUUGUCAACACUGCAUGCUACACUCAGAACAGAUCGCUUAUACAGUCUACGAUUAAGAAGACUCCCUACGAACUGUGGAAAGGAAGAAAGCCAAAUGUCAGCUACUUCCAUAUAUUCGGCUGUGCAUGCUACAUUCUCAACAAUGGGAAGCAGUAUCUGACAAAGUUCUAACCCAAGUCAGACUAAGGAAUCUUUCUCGGAUAUGCCACAAACAGUAAGGCUUAUAGAGUAUUCGACAAAAAGACACUGAGUGUUAAAGUCUCGAUCCACAUCAUUUUCGAUGAAACAGACUUGGGCAAAAUAGUGCCUCAAGACACUACAAACGACAAUUCAGAUGAAGUCGUCGAGUCCACGAUCGUAGUUCCAAAAAAUGAAAUCGUCGAGCAAGAAGAGGAGAUCGUAGAGAGAACUAUGCAAAACAACAAACCUCCACAUCAAGAAGCAGAAAUUGAUCUUGAAGGUCUCAGACAAGAAGGCAUCAAGACAGAUGUUCCAACAAGAAAUAGAUAGGCAAGAGAUCACACUUAAGACUUAAUCAUUGGAGACCCAAAUGAAAGAGUCAAAAAAAGAGCCGCCGCCCAAAAUGAUUGUUUCUAUCUGAGCUUUCUGUCACAAAUGGAACCCAAGAAGAUAGAAGAUGUUAUGGAAGACUUCAGCUGGAUAGAAGCCAUGCAGGAAGAACUAAAUCAGUUUGAAAGAAGUAAAAUAUGGAGAUUAGUUCCAAGACCAAAGAGUCAUCCUGUCAUUGGGACCAAGUGGGUCUUCAGAAACAAGAUGGAUGAAGAUGGAGUAAUAAUCAGGAAUAAGGCAAGACUAGUGGCCAAAGGUUACUCUCAAGAAAAAGGCAUUGACUACGAUGAUACCUUUGCACAUGUUGCCAGAUUAGAAGCCAUCAGAAUAUUCCUUGCCUUUGCUGCUCACAUGAAAUUCAAAGUCUUUCAGAUGGAUGUCAAAAGUGUAUUCCUGAAUGGUGAACUUCAAGAAAAAGUAUAUGUAGAGCAACCUCCAGAUUUCAUCAAUCCAUCUCUCUCUAAUUAUGUCUAUAGAUUAGACAAAGCCUUAUAUGGUCUUAAACAAGCACCUAGAGCAUGGUAUGAAACAUUAACUAACUUUCUUAUUGAAAAUGGGUUCACUAGAGGUAGAGUAGAUACCUGUAACAUUCUAGAAUUUUAAUUGUUAUAUUAAAUAUUUAUUGAAUUAUUUAAAUACUUAAUGGAUGUGUUUAUUAUUGAAUAAAUUAUUGUUCAAAUUUGAAUUGGUGUGGUUAAUUAUUUGUUAAAUAAAUAAUUAAGGAAAAUUAAUUAUUUUGCUAAUUUAAUUUAAUUAUUAAGUUAGAGAAUUUUGAUUAAUUGAAUUACUAUUCUUUUUAUUGGAAUUUGUAAUUAAAAAGGAUGUGUUGGUGGAUUAAAUAAAAGUUAUAAUUAUAUAGAAAUUAUAAUUUUGGUGGUAUUGAUUUAUGUGAUGAAGUGAUUUAAUAAAUUGUUAUUAUGAUUAAUUUAAUUAAAUUAAUGUGUGACAAAUAACCUUUUAUAAAGUAGUUAUUAAAAUAACUUAAAGGAGUUUUAAUUCCGUUUUGCCAAACAAGGCCUAAUGCCUAUUAAGUCUUUAAUAUAAUUGUGUUUUACCAAACAAGGUGUAAGGUUAAUGGGUUUUUUUUUUAGUUAGUAACCAAACAAGCCUUAUGGCUUUUGAUUUUAAAAACUUUUAACUGAUGUCAGUUAUGUAUUUUAUAUUUAUAUUAUAUAAUUAAUAUAUAUAAUAUCUAGAUAUGUUAGAUUAUUAGUACGCUCUAGUGUUAGAGGAGAGAGGUUAGAGAGAAGAAGGAAAAACUCAGAGGAAAAAGAAGAAGAAGAAGAAGAAGAAAGAAAGAAGAGAGGAAGAAAGGCUAGAGGUUGGAGAAGAGGAAAGCUUGAGAAGAGAAAAGAUAUAGUCAUCCUCAUCAUCUUCUUCAAGGUAUUAACCUAUACUUUUAGUUUUAAAAAUUUGGUUUCUCUCUUCCAUGAUUCUCCAUAAAAUCCUUGUGUAAGCAUGAAUUAUUGUUGUUAUGAGGCUUAAUAUGGCUUACUUGUAAUGUUAAAACUAUUUUCAUGAGCUAUAAUCAAAGAAUUGUUGAUAUGUAUGUAAUUUGUGGAGAAAAUUAUUUUACGUAGAGUUUUUCUUUAUUAUAUAUUGUUUAGUUAAAAUAGAAAUUUUGGGUUGUUUAGUUGUUUUGUUGAUAAAUUGAUCGUUUAAUUUGUUAGAGUAUGUAUAAUCAUUGAUAAAGAUGCUUUGAAUUAACUGUUUUGGUUGAAAAACAAAAUUUACAGUGUUGAUUUUUAUUGGAAUAUCAAAAAGUGAGUUUCUAUCAAAAUCAGUGAAAUUGAAUGUAUUAAAUUUGUUGUUUAUGUUGUUGUAUGGGUAGAAACAUGUUAGGAGUUCUUGAAUUUUGUUCACAUGAAAUUUUUGUAUGAAUUACAUGUUAAUUAGUCUGUUAGAAACGAGCUUGUAGGCCAAAAUUGGCUUUUUCUUGUACUGUUGCUGAAGUUGUCAGUCGAGACUGCAGUUUUGCGCCGCGGCGCGGCCCAACAGUACGUUUGUGGCGCCGCAGCGCCAUCGACACACCGCAGCGCAGCUUCGUAGUUUAAUUAUCGCACUGCAGCGCCAUCCUCGCGCCGCAGCGCGACCCACAGUGUAAACUGUGGCGCCGCGGCGCGAGUUAGCAGAAUGGUCUGACAGUGUUGAUUUUGUACUUGAAAUUUUAAGGAAUUGUUAUGUGAUGAUAGUAGGACUGUAAAAUGUUGAUUUUAGUAUUUUUUUUAUACUAUGAAUAAGUAUGUUAUUAACAAUUAACUUGUGUUAUAACUUGAUUAUGUGAUUAAAAAUCCAAUAUUUACAUGAAGAACAUACUUAGUUGUGUUUGUAAGAUAGUAAUGACUAAUUAUGUCAUGAUGACAUACAUUUAUAGGAUAUUGUGGUUUGAAUUGUUCGAUUUAGUCCACGAACAAGGCAAAUUCUCUAACUCUACUUUUGUAAUUGGAAUCAAUUAUUAUUCUCAAUAUAGUAAUGCAAGUUUUCUAAUUCUUUAUCUUGUUGAACUAUUUAUUCAAAUUCGAUUACUUUAUAAAUGAUGCAAGCUUCCUAAACGUUGGUUUGAUGUUGACAAGUUAUUCUUGUAUUUAACUUGUUGUUUAGCUUGCACAAUUAUUUAUACUAAUGUCGAGCAAUUUUAUCGUUCAAACUGUUAUGCAUGCUUAGUAUUCAAUUCUAAUUAACCUUGACUUAAUAUUGUUCAAGCAAGGCAUGUUAUAGUUAUUCAAAGUAUAUGCUAUUAGAUUAUUCCUAAAGCAUGAUUUUGAUUUACCAUGUUGAUUCAAUUACGAUUAUUCUGUAAUAUGAUGUUAUUAAUUCAACUAGUCCUCUAGUUGAUGAUCGUUGAACUUCAAAUUACCCUUGAAAGCUUAUCCACACCGAACUCUCUUUGGUGCGGACUUGUACUCCAAACACUGAGAUGAACAACCCUAUUAUUAUUAGGGGUUAACUUACGCGUAGCAUUAAAUGUUUGUACAUAAUACAUGGUACGAAGGGCUGAUCCCCCUAAGUACGAGGAGUCCUUAUAGUCUUAUGACUGUUAAAGUUGGAGUUGAAAGAUUACUCGCAACUGUGGACAUAGUUCAUGGUCUUAUGACCCUCAGUUAUAUUUAUUCCAUAUUUUGGAUUUCAGUUUCUGAUUAUUGAUGAUAGAGUACUAUUCAUUGUUGAUGAGCCUAUUAUUGGCAGUUAUUAUUACUAUACUCCUAUUGAUUUCAUUUUGUAUCCAGUGACCAAUUGUUUUGCUCACUCUUGCAUAUUUUAAAACUCAUUGCAGCUAAAGAAGAGAAGGUAGAUGAACCUUCGUCUAGCAAAGAAAAGGGAAAAGUGUGCAAGUGAUGAAGACUUGUAAUUUUACUUUGAUUGAGAUGUUAGAUUUAUAUUAUGAUGAUCUUAGACUUGGUUUAAUGAUGUUUAUUUAAUUUCCGCAUUGAAUGAUUGUAAUUAAAGGUUAGAUAACCUGGGAGAUUUUAUUAUGUAACCCUUUAAUGGGAAAUCUUUUAUUUAUCCAGUUUUAUUAUGAUUGGGUAGUUAGAUAUGAAUGUUUGAUUAAGUGAACACCAGAUCCUGUGGGAAUGAAGUACCUGGAUUUGGGGGUGUCACAAUACCACAUUAUUUCUUAGAAAGCUUAAAGAUAAAGUCUUAUUAGUUCAAAUAUAUGUUGAUGACAUUAUCUUUGGCUCUACUGAUGAAAAAUUGUGUAAGAGAUUUGCUAAGCUUAUGCAGAGCAAGUUUGAAAUGUGCAUGAUGGGCGAGCUGAACUUCUUUCUUGGAUUGCAAGUAAAGAAGACUGAUGAAGGAAUCUUCAUAUACCAAGCCAAAUACAUUAAAGACUUACUUAAAAAGUAUGGCAUGGAAUCAACCUCUCCUAUGAAAACCCCAAUUGCUCCAGCAACCAAGCUUGACAAAGAUGAAAAAGGUAAAAGUAUUGAUAUAACUCAAUACAGAGGUAUGAUAGGCUCUCUUUUAUAUCUAACUACCAGUAGACCAGAUAUAAUGUUUGCAACAUGCAUAUGUGCUAGAUUUCAAGCUAAUCCUAAGGAAUCACACUUAACUGCUGUAAAAAGAAUUUUCAGGUACCUCAAAGGCACACCUCACUUGGGGCUUUGGUAUCCCAAGGAGUCCUCUUUUGAACUGACAGGAUACACAUAUGCUGAUUUUGCAGGCUGCAAAAUAGAUAGAAAAAGUACUAGUGGCACAUGUCAACUGCUGGGAAACAGACUUGUGUCCUGGUUCAGUAAGAAGUAAACUCAGUAUCUACAUUAAUGGCAGAAGCUGAAUACAUUCCUGCUGGCAACUGUUGUGCUCAAAUCUUAUGGAUAAAAAAUUAGUUAGCAGAUUAUGAGUUUGAUUUCAAAACUAUACAUAUUAAUUGUGAUAACACAAGUGCCAUAGCAAUAACACACAAUCCUGUCAUGCACUCUAGGACUAAGCAUAUAAAAAUUAGAUAUCAUUUUAUUAGGGAUCAUGUUCAAAAUGGAACCAUAUCUUUACAAUACAUCCCUACUGAAAAUCAACUUGUUGAUGUCUUUACAAAGCCUCUAGAUGAAUCCAGAUUUAAUAAAUUAAUAAGUGAGCUAGGUAUGCUAAAUCUAUAACCAUAAAAUCUAUGCUCCAGUUUGUGCUAACCAUGCAGAUAUAAAGGCUAUGUUCAAAAUCGUAGACAUGACCAAAAGAAGUCCACUAUCAUAUAGUUGCUGUGACAUGAAAGACCACGGUCGUAGAGCUUCCUCAACAUGACAAAGAGGCAUCCUAUGAUGACAAGAACUCCAAUAAAUCCAAGAAAUCUCUUCGACAAGCGCCUCAGGGACAAACCUAAUCCUUAGUUCAUUCUAAGAUAUUGGCCCUUCCUGAGCUACCUUAACUCGAAAGAAGUGCCAAGUCAAAAAUUCAUCACAAGGACCAGAGCAGAAAAUGUUCCUAGAGUAAAUUUAGCAGUGCACUCAACAAUCACAAUGACAACCUCAACGACCGUAGUGCUACCUCGACGAUCGUAGUUCUCCCAAAGAAUACGCUAGCUCAGAAGGAGCUAAGGGCAAAUCAGUAUUUUACAUCUAAGUUAAAAUCGUGGAGCCAAGCAGAACGUGACACAUGCCCCACUAAGCAAAUUGAGAGGAGGGAAGUUAUAAGUACAGUUUGAAAAUAUCCUUUUGAAAUCAGAAGUUCAAAAAGCUUAUUCCUCUCUCUCUCUCUCUACCAGCAGAAACCCUAGCUUUCAAAAUCGCUCAACCAUCUUCAGUGCAAAGAAAUUAAUGGCGGCUUCAAAUGUCAUCAUUGGUUACCGACUCUGUUUCGAUGAGUUCAAGACAGCUGAUCCUAAAUUUCACAAAAUUUUAUCUCUGAUAAAGAAAGCUGGUCUUGAAGAAGCUCUGGGCACCAGCACAUGGAUCUACCCAAAGCUAAUAAAGGAAUUUUACAACAAUUGAGUUUUUGAGAGCGACACCAUCACUACAAAAGUCAGGGGAGUACAAAUCAAACUCAAGGCUGAAGACAUAAAUCUGGCCCUAGGUUUCAAGUCAAAGGGACUCCUAUCGAUAGAGGUCAUCGACUUCUAUGAAGGACUGAAGAGGAUGCAUCACAAAAAGAAUGAGACUGUCAGGGGGUACAAGAAGAAGGAGUUUCCCCAAAAAUAUGAGUUUUUAGCUGACAUUGUAGGAAAGUGUAUAUGUUGCAAAAGCUCUGGCCACGACUCCGUGAAUGAAGUACAACUGAAGCGUAUGACAGCAAUCUGUUAUGGGAUCCAACUCAACUUUGGAGCCCUACACAUCGAUUGGAUUGGGAAGUGGAUUCUCAAUUCGAAGAAAUUAAAGAGCUCUGGUAAGAUGCUCUACGGGCGGUUUAUAAGCAUCAUCCUGCAAUCUGCACUAGGUGACAAAAUUAGGGAUAAUGAAGGAGAAUCCAUCAAUCCCAACAGUUCUGUCAAGGAGAGGUUUGGUCACUUAAUUGCGCGCCAGUAAGGAAAAAUCCUUAUCGGAAAGCCCCCUCUUUCUUGGGAACAGCCUAGUUGUCAGGAUUGUGAUUCUAUAAUAUUAUUUGUGAAUAAUUAAUUAUUGAUUUAUAUGAUAAAAAAAAUAUUCAUUUUAUGCGGAUAUAGAUGGAGAAAAUUUUUGAUGUGACAAUUGUUGAAAAUUGAUAUUUUAUCUUUUCAAAUAAAAUAAUUCAUUUAAAUAUAUUAUUAUAUUAUAAUAAUAUAAUAAUGGUGAUAUUUUAUAAUGAAUGUGUGAUAUAUGAAUAAAUAAGGAGGAAGAGUAUUUUUGUUACUAAAAAUGUUUAAAACAUGUUAAACAUGUUGGUGGGCCCCAUUUUGUGACUGAAAUUGGAUUAUAGCCUGUAAAAUCGCCCGUAUGUGGAUUUUGGUCAAUUUCUGCUUAGAAUUUAGAAAAAUUUAAACUUACAAAGUUGUAGAGAAUUGAAUUUCCUAUGGAAUGGACAUACGAUUUGAAUUUUUCUGAUAAAAGGGCUAUUUAUUAUGAAUUAUUGAAGUUCCGAAAUAAUUGAUUUUUGAAGUUUUAAAUAUUUUUUUAAUAAAAAUGUUUUUUUCAUUAUGGUGGGCCCCACAUGUGUGGUAAAUGAGCUGAUUUCAGAUUUUCUAAGGUGGGCGUGAAAAUUUUUAUAAUAUAAUAAUAUUUUAUUAAAUUUUCUGCUUUGGUGUUCUAAGCAUUUUCCUAUAAAUAGGGUGUUUAGGUUAGAAUUGAAAAUCACACCAGAAACUGAAGUUUUCUCUGUUUAUAUUAUCGAGUGUAUUUUUGUGAGUAUUUUGAUACUUUGAGUGUUGUUAUACGGUGCAAGUUUCUUUCAGCGUUAUAUUUGAUAUUCCAGCCAGAGGUACUAUUCUUUUGAGGUAAGGGAUGUUAUUUUCUUUUAUAAAUGAUAUUAUUCUUUCAAUAUCAUUAUGCUGGAAUAGUGGUAAGAUUUUUCUUGUGAAAUUCUUGUCUUUUUGUGUCGAGGUUACUAUUCACGUAUACGGAACUAUUCAUGUAUACGACACUAUUCACAGAAAAAUUAAAUUUCUGUUCUUUGUCCAAGUUGUUAUUAUGAUUACUAGCUUUGAUUGUAUCCAUGUUUUGAUCUUCAUUCUUGAAUUUUACUUCACUAUGAUUUGUUAUGAAGUAUUUUUGAACAUGGAUGGACUAAAAUACGAAUCCUUAAUUCUUAUCCUUUUAUUUCAUUGGAUUCGUUUCUUUAAAAAUAUUUUUCAUCAUCCUCAGUCCUAAAUGAUGAUACUACUGAAUAUCUUUGGCCUGUAGUGCAAAGAUGAAUGAUUUUCUGAUGAAUAUCUUUGGCCCGUAGUGCAAAGAUGAACAGGUGUUGAGAUGAACAUGACCAACUGAUAAAUAUCUUUGGCCUGUAGUGAAAAGAUGAAUAUUUGAUGAUGUUACAGGGAUAACAUAUUGACGAUGGACUUUAAAAUCAUAGAAGAUAGUAGAUUUCAUCAUCUACUUAACUCUUCUAAUGAAUUGUUAUUUCCGCUGCGAAUAUUGAUCUAAAACUUGUUGUCUAUUAUAUUUUAUCAGAUUUUUCCCUGUUGAGGACUAACGAUAAUUUGUUCUAUAUUAUCUUAGUCAUAAUGUUCUUUACUGGGCUAGUUGAGCUCACCCUUUUCUUUUUUGUUCCAUUUUUCUUCUCAGGAGGCGAGAAUGUAGCGAGUACUAGUCGGGCUGUGGAGUGAAGGUUCUAGAAAGUUAUUUAGUGGUCCUCACUAUUUUUGUAAAAUAAAGUUUCAAUAAUUGUAAUGAAGACUUAUUUGAGUGUGGAUAUUGUCUAGAAGACAAUAUUUGUAUUUAAACUCACAGUUAAUGUGUUGUCGUAUUUUGCACGACAAUUGUAUUAAUAAAUUUGUAGCUGUUUCGAUACCAUGUAUUUGGCGACUCAGAAUGGGUGAUGUAUACCUAUUUUAGAGGCGUCACAGUUGGUAUCAAAGCUUAGGGAUAUGAUCCCUGGUUGAGAUGUGAGACAAGAACUAGGAGGGGAGAGACGGGGAAUUCCUUAGCUAGUAUGACCUACCUAAGUUUGAGUUUAUUUGGUAUUUAAUUGGUUGGUCAGAGUAUAUGAAUAAUAUGUGACAUGUCAAUUAACCCUUGUUUUGUGGCAGUAUUUAAAAAUGGCAGCUGAAAAUAUUAACGAUGGAGUGAAUGAGACCGUGGAAACACCUUUAAUCAACAACUAAGAGAACGUGCAACAGGAUGGGAAUGUUCCUCCUGUAAACAACACCACUGAUCAGAUGAUGAACGAUGAGAUGUUUAGAAGCUUUUUACAGUUCAUGCAAAAUCAGAUGAGGGAGACUUGUGUACAAAAUACAGGUGGAAAUGAUAGCAACGCGCGGUUUGUCACGGCCAAGCAGUUCAAAGAGUUGGGACCACCAGAAUUCUGGGAAAAGCCGGACCCGAUUAAGGCAGAAACAUGGGUCAAGCAAAUUACCAAGAUAUUCGAUGUCUUGGGAUGCACGGAGGAACAGAAGGUUCCAUUCGCCACCUUUAUGUUCCGUGGUGAGGCAGAUUACUGGUGGAAAUCUGUGAAGUGUACCCAGCCUGCCGCACUCAAUAUGUCUUGGGAAGCGUUUCAAAAACUAUUCAAUGACAAGUACUCUCCUGAAAGUAUUCGUCAUAUGAAGGAGGUGGAGUUUAUUAGACUGGAACAGAACAACAUGACGGUGUCCCAGUAUGAGGCGAAGUUCGCGGAGUUAUCCAGGUUUACACCUCAUUUGGUGGAGAAUGAGGAACGUAUGACGCGGAUGUUUCUGAGAGGUUUGAAACCCAACAUACGUCAAUAUCUCAUUUCUCAUAAAUUUUCUCUAUAUUCAGAUGUUGUCAACAGGGCUCAAUUAUUAGAGCGAGAUAAUGAGUAUGUUCAACCGAGGGACCACAGCCAGGGUCAUACCGGUGACAGCAGUCAUUAGAAUAAUGAUAACCAACGGGGAGGAAAGAAUACGGACAAAAGCGGUAACCACUCUGGUGAUAAUCGUGGCCAUGAUAAUAGGAGAGGUGAGUCAAGUGAAAAUUUCAAAAAAAAAGAGAUUCAACAAUGACAAUGUGAAGACGUCAACACUAGUAUCAACUGUUUCUAAGGGAGGAGAAUGGCCACCGGUCGUAUGCUAUAAAUGUGGAAAAGAGGGACACAUCAGCCCAAACUGUCCACAAUAGUUCAAGGUAUGUUAUAAUUAUGGAAAGGAAGGACAUAUCGCUCGAGAUUGUACUGUAAUGAAACCAAGUCCGGCGGGGAUGGUGACUCAAAAGGCUGUCCCAGAUAAGGCAAAGUCAGCGGUUCCUGGAAGAGCGUUUGUCGUGACUGGCCAAAAUGCGAGGAACCCUAACGAGGUGAUCACGGGUAAGCUAAUCAUAAACUCUUGUGAAGUUUAUACCUUACUAGAUACCGGUUCAACCCAUUCUUUUAUCUCUCCUGCUUGUGCUCAACGUUUAAACUUGACUGCGGGGAAAUUAGACUUUGACUUAUCUGUUGAGACUCCAUUAGGAGAAACUUUCAUUACAUCCAUUGUUUAUAAAUGUUGUUUGAUCCAAGUUGGCACCAUCACAUUACCUAUUGAUCUUAUCUCUUUAAAGAUACUUUCUUUUGAUGUGAUUUUAGGAAUUGAUUGGUUAACUACUCAUCAUGCCAAAAUUGAUUAUUUUCGUAAGGUUGUUAUUUUUCAUAUUCCUAACCAACCUAUUAUGCGAAUUCAAGCAACUAAACCACUAAAAUCAAUCACUUUCAUAUUAAGCCAUAAAACAAUUCGUUUAUUGAAAAACGGAUGUCAAGCUUUCUUAGCCCAUGUCAUGGACUUGAACAAAGAUACGUCACACUUAAAUAAUAUUUCUGUUGUUAGUGAAUUUCCUGAUGUAUUUCCUGAAGAACUUCCCAGUCUACCCCCAGAACAUGAAGUUGAAUUCUUUAUUAACCUUGAACCUGGUACAAAACACAUUUCUAAAACCCCAUAUCGAAUGGCUCCUAUUGAACUCCAGGAAUUAAAGGUCCAACUACAGGAGUUGUUGGACAUCGGUUUCAUUCGUCCUAGUACAUCUCCUUGGGGUGCUCCUAUUUUAUUCGUAAAGAAGAAAGACGGGAGUAUGCGACUUUGUAUUGACUACCGGGAAUUGAACCAUGUCACCAUCAAGAAUAGGUAUCCGCUACCUCGCAUCGAUGACAUGUUUGACCAGUUGCAAGGAGCACAAUUCUUUUCAAAGAUCGAUCUUCAUUCUAGAUAUCAUCAGCUGAAGAUUAAAACUGAGUGAAGACUGUCUGCAGAACUCGGUACGGGCAUUAUGAAUUCUUAGUCAUGUCUUUUAGAUUGAUUAAUGCUCCUGCGGCUUUCAUGGAUCUGAUGAACCGUGUAUUCAAGGAAUAUUUGGAUCAAUUCGUUGUUGUCUUUAUUGAUGACAUCCUCAUCUAUUCCAAAAUCCGUGAAGAUCAUGAGCACCAUUUGAAGCUGGUAUUUCAANNNNNNNNNNNNNNNNNNNNNNNNNNNNNNNNNNNNNNNNNNNNNNNNNNNNNNNNNNNNNNNNNNNNNNNNNNNNNNNNNNNNNNNNNNNNNNNNNNNNGUGGUGUCAAAACAAGGAGUAUCUGUUGACCCGGCGAAGAUUGAAGCAAUACAAAGUUGGGAGCAACCAAAGUCGGUGACCGAAGUACGUAGCUUCAUGGGCUUAGCUGGUUAUUAUCGGAGAUUCGUGGAAGGAUUUUCUCGAAUCGCUACUCCGUUAACUCAGCUGACUCGGAAAGAUACAAAAUUCGUAUGGAGCGAGGAAUGCGAGAAGUGUUUCCAAGAGCUCAAGAAGAGACUCAUUUCGGCACCUGUUCUGACAAUACCAUCUGGUUCGGAGGAAUUUGUCAUCUACAGCGAUGUUUCAGGCAAAGGGUUAGGAUGUGUUCUUAUGCAACAUGGGAAAGUCAUAGCCUAUGCAUCGCGACAACUUAAAGAAUAUGAGAGGAAUUACCCUACUCAUGAUCUAGAGUUGGCAGCAGUCGUUUUCGAGCUAAAGAUCUGAAGGCACUACCUGUAUGGGGAGAAAGUGGAGAUCUAUACAGAUCAUAAAAUUCUCAAAUAUUUUUUCACCCAAAAAGAACUCAACAUGCGGCAACGACGUUGGCUCGAGUUGUUGAAAGAUUAUGACCAUACCAUUCAAUACCAUCCUGGAAAAGCGAACGUUGUAGUUGACGCGUUGAGUAGAAGAUCAUAUGCGAGAACGAGUGCGAUGCUGUCAACACAAAGGCCCAUUUUGUGUGAUUUACAAAAGAUGAAAAUAGAGUUCAAGACUCCGGUUACCCAUUUAAUGAUGUCAAGUAUACGUAUAGAACCAACUUUAAUCGAUAAAGUUAAAGUUGCUCAAGCCACAGACCCGGAGCUGAUGCGUAUGAAGAAAAAAGUACAAGAAGGUGUUAUCCUAGAAGCAAGAAUCGAUGAAGAAUGAAUACUUCGAGUCAACUCCAGACUAUGUGUUCCUAACUACUCUGAUUUGAAGUACAAGAUCAUGAUGGAGGCACACAACACACCAUUUGCAAUCCAUCCAGGAAGUACUAAAAUGUAUCGGGAUCUUCGACAUACAUUUUGGUGGAAUAAUAUGAAGAGAGAGAUCGCGAACUUUAUCUCGAGGUGUUUAACUUGUCAACGUGUAAAGGCGGAGCAUCAUGUACCAAAGGGUCAAUUGCAACCACUUGAGAUUCCGAAAUGGAAGUGGGAACACGUUAUCAUAGAUUUCGUUACGGGUCUUUCCAAGGUUUCUCAAGGUAUAGAUGCUCAUUUCUCAAGGCAUAGAUGCGAUUUGGGUUUCAAUUGUCAGUUCUAUAAUUUUUAAUUCAAUCGUGAAGAACGGACUUCUAAAUGCAGGUUAUGGUCAACUCAAUUUGGAAGAAUCGUCGUCAUGGGGGUCUCGAAAUGUGGAAUGCUUCCAGAAAUUAGAGCAGAUUAGCGAAGGCAAUUACAGAUAAAACUAAUUAUUGAAUUAUACAUAGUUUUACUUCUUAAUUGAUUUAUAUUUAUUGUGUUGAUUGUUGUUUCCAAUUGUAUUGUUUUAUGAAUGUUGUUGAUGAAAUUUGCCACUCUUAAUUUUAUGCUACGAUAAUUCAACUAAUGUCUCUCCAAGCUGCCAAGUAACUAAUUGAAUUGUGUACUUCGAGCUCUUUUCUGACAUAAAUAUCGGACAAUUUAAUAAAUUCAUUAUUUAAACUAGUCCGUGCAUUGCAUGGGCUAUCAACUAGUGAUUGCUAAAUUCAGAACUGCAAAUUCUUUCAAAUUUUUGAAGGAAUUUUUCAAAUUAUAAUUCUGCAGUGCAUAAUUAUAAAUUAACCUGCUUAAUUUAUAAAUUAAUAAUAAUUUUUUUUAAAAAAUUAAAAUCUAUUUAACCCUUGGUGCAUUUGGAAUAUAACAAAAACUUUUUUUGACACUUCCUGUGGGUGCGCACACGUUUUCUUGCAAUCAGACUGUCUAAGAGUCGCCCUUGAAACGACUUGUUCUAUCUAGUGGAAAGAUAAUCACAAAAAUUUCUCUAGUCUAGUCAAAGGGCAGAUAUGUAAACCAAAGUAGAUAGCCUUAAAUAUUUAAUAACUUGCAAAAGUGACUCCAAUAGAAAGAUAUCUAUCUACCAAUCUGGCAAACGUGGACUUCACUACUGAGGAGUAAUGGGAAAUGGACUCGAGUCAUGGGAAACGUGGAAUUCCAAAUGGAUGAUUUCAUUUAUCCAAAAUUAUUUAUCCAUCGUUUUAUAUAAUUUAAAGGAAUUAAUUCCGAUUUUUCUAAAAUUAUUUCUCAUAAAAAAAUAUUAUAGAUGUGAAAUAAAUAUGAUAAUAAAUAAAAAUUUAUUUAAAAGUAUUAUAGAUAUUUGAUAUUAUAUUUAAUAAUAUCCAAUCAUUUAUUUAAUUUUUGUGCACAACUCUAAAACGUCAUAAUAAUAUCAUUAUGAAAAUGUACAAUUGCUAAAAAAAUUACUGUCAAUCCAUUGAAAUAUGAUAUGCUACGAGUGAAAUUUUGUAAACAAGAAAUGAAUUAUUAUGGUACGGAGUGAGUAGCAACUUGUAUGGGUAAUAUAUAUAUACCAGAAGUUUGAAAUGAGAACCACUAAAUGGUAAUAUUGGGAUCUCAAACCGCCUUACUGUCUUGAAGGUUUUUUCAUUUCAAUUACCAAGAGAAACCCAUUAUGAAAUGAUCGACAAGCAGGCCUAUGGAAUAUCUUUAAAAUAUAUUUGUAUAUAUAAAAUAAAAUAAAAAUACAACAACUUGAACGUACGUCAAGACAAGACAAUAGUCAAGGACUUGAUUGAUUCUUGUUUUGUGCAAGAAUAUAAGUACAUGCAUGCAUGUAAUAUAUCUUGAGUGAACAACAACUUAUUCAUAUUGAAUGUGAAUGUGAAUGUAAAUGUAAAUCAAGUUGCGGCCUAACAUGGACAAAUGAGUAAUGGCUGAUUGACCAGCUGGAAAUUAAGAAUCGCUCUCCUCGAUCUUUUCUAUUUGCUUUUAAAAUAUUGAAAAAAUAGGUGAAUUUUUCGUGUAUAAAUAGAAUGCAAGAGAAGAGGGGAAAAUAACUACACUUAAUAAUUUCACAGUUGAGAGCAGAGCAUACAUUAAAGAUGAUGCAGAAGAAGACGUUGGCGAUAGCUCUGGUGUGGCUCCUGGUUGCGUCGUCAAUCAUGAUGUGCGCGUACGCAGCUGCAGACAGUACCCCAUUGAAAACUGCUGACCAAGUUCUCCAUCCCCUAGCAGGUAAGAACGAACAUCAUAUAUAUCCUUUUGCUUUCGCAUCUGUUCUACAAAUUAAUAUUCUACAUAGUAUAUAUAUAUAUACAUACUACUACAAUUAGGCGCAAUGUGUUUCGGUGCUUGAAUGCAUGCAUGCAUGUGCAUUUACGUAAUAUAUAGUAAUUUAGAGUAUAUAUAUAUAUAUAUAUAUUCAUAGAACUAACUAUAUGUGGAUGCUAAUAAAUACAUACACUACUUGAAGGUUGUCGCUGCUGCAACUUCAUUCGUGUGAAAGGGUUUAUCCAAUGCGGAACAGUUUGUUGUGUGGAUGGAUGUUGCGGACGCAAGUGAAGCACCUGCAAUGCAGCUACACAGACAAUAAUAUGAAUCAUGGUGAUAUAGUUGCACAAUAAGAUGAAUAAUGGUGGUUAAAAGUUGCAACAUCUCUGAAGCAAUUAAUCAACCACCCCCCNNNNNNNNNNNNNNNNNNNNNNNNNNNNNNNNNNNNNNNNNNNNNNNNNNNNNNNNNNNNNNNNNNNNNNNNNNNNNNNNNNNNNNNNNNNNNNNNNNNNUAAUUAUUAUCGAUUUCCCUGUUUGUUUGUUUUGCAUUCCUAUCGAGUUAUAUAAUGUUUGUCGAAAAGAUCCUGUUUAAUGAAAAAUGUCUGGAAAUCUGGGUGUUUCAGCAGGAUUUCUUUACGUUAUGUAUGUCUACAUGAGGAUUUAUCUAUAAUCUAUCUAUAUAAAAGCGAUCGACUCGUUAAUCUAAAAGUAUCAUUCAUUUCAAGAGUUUGAUUCACAAUCUGUCCUGCCUGCCUACUAAUUUCAAGGAACAACUAGAUGAACUGCUUCUAGUGUUAACACAAGAAAAACUGUUUCUGCUCCAUACCAACCAAAACAUACAAAACUGCACCUUUUUAUAGUCAUUUCAUGAUACUUACCAUAUGAAUGUUCCAAUACACAAAUGUUCCGAUCUAUAAAAAUUUAUUUUUUAUUUUUAUUUUUUUGAAAAAACCUGGAAAAAAAUACAUUAUGUCGUUCAAAUUAGGGAGUACAUGCGUAAUAGGGUUGAGGGAUAUAUACCUACUCUAUUCAAAAAUGAAGUACGUUACAAACUUUCAUAAUCUAAGUAAGAAAAUAAAGUAUCGAUAAACAACUUUCAAAGACAUGCCAAGUCUCGCAUCCAAUUUAUAUCAUAUAAUCACCAUUCAACGAUCAUCAUAAAAGAAAAUCACUCACCACAUCAGUAGAAUCAGAGCUCCCACAAGGAGAAAAAAGACCCCACAAGAGGGGAGAAAGAACGAUUUAAACCUAAAGGAGAAAAUAAAAUUCCAAAACAAUGAUAAAAUAAAAAAAGAUAGUCAAUAAGAAGAUCAUGGGAGGGUCUCUUCAAACAAGAUACAGACCCUCACCCUCCCCAGGUCUAAGUUUGAAGUUUGGGAGACUAGGGUUUAUGGCUAGAGAGAGAAAAACACAACUAUGAAUGAAUUAUUAGUCUCAUGAUCCGUGUUAAGGGUCUCACAUUUUUAGUUUCAAAUAGGUCUAAAUGAUAUGACAUUGAAUAUUUUAAUAGUACUUUGACACUUUUUGAAAUAAAAAAUUGGAUUUCUAACUAGAUUGGAUUUCUAGGGACUUCAAACAGAAUGCUGGAAUUUAUCAUGCACCUUUUCUACCUUCAACAGAAACUUCUCUACCCAACAGUGUGAUUUCUAACUGUAUUGUGUGCGUAAAAUAUACGGAUUUGGUCAUCUUAUAUUGUAAAAUCAGAAAGGCAAUCUUUUUAAACUGUAAAGUUAUAUGUGCACUUGAAAGUUUCUUGUCAAGAGUUGUACAAGUAAAAAAAAUUAAAAAAAAAACAAGUGUUUCCAUCUUUCUAGCUAUUUGCCAUUUUCACUUCGAUCCGAUUGAUCAGUCCUGAGCCUCUGAAUGAAAACUUUCACACUUGUGUGUGCACACAUGCACACACAUACGUUUGCCUGCAAUCAGUACAUUGAAGAGUCAAAUUUUGUGACAACGAUGGCAAGGUUCUUCUAUCUUGUUGAAAGAUAAUCACAAGAUUUCUUAAAUGGGUAACUGCACUCAGAGGAUCUAACACAAAGGAUGAGAAAAUAAAAUUGAAAACAAUUGCCUUUUCAAACCAAAGGGCCUACCUUAGCUACUUAAUAUUAUAGUGAUAACAAAUUUGAGAAAAUAGAUAGCCUUAAAUAUUGAUUCACUUGCAAAAGUGGCUCCAAUAGAAAGAUAUCUAGCAAUCUGGGGAAACGUGGAAUUCUAUACUCCAAGGAGUACUAGGAAAUGGACUUCAGACUCUUCAAGAUCUAUUAAGAUAGAGAGCAUGAAAUUUCUACUACAAUCAAGUAGUUCAAAAUAAAUGUUUAGAUGGAAAUUAUAUUCAUUUUCUUAUUUCUGUCUACGUUUAGUUGAUCAAGACGAACUCAUGUAAGCAGGGUAAAGUUUUCCUGCAGAAUAAGUGUGGUGACAAUUUUUAAUAGAGGCUAUUUAAACACAUAAACUAUAGAGGAAUCAUUUUCAACUGGAUUACCAAUGUCCUAAUUUACGUGUCCCCUCAUCUUUUUUUAUUGUUCCAAAACCUUGUCAUUAGUUUUAUAACAACUUGUAUGGCUAAUACUAGAUUUUUGAAAUGAGAACCUCAACCACUAAAUGGUGGUAAUAUUGGAAUCUCAAACUGCUCUAUAGGCCUUCAGGCUAUUUUAGUGCCUAAAACCCUCAAUUGGGACUGGCGGAGUAUUUGAAAGGACACUUCUGAGUUUUUUCAUUUCAAUUACCAAGAGAAACCCACUGAGAAAUGACAAGCAGACCUAUCGAAUAUCUUUAAAAUAUUAUAAAUAAAAUAAAAAUACAACAACUUGAACAGACAAGACAAUAGUCAAGGACUUGAUUCUUUGUUUUGUGCAAGAAUAAGUACAUGCAUGUAAUCUUGAGUGAACAACAACUUGUUCAUAUUGAAUGUAAAUGUAAAUCAAGUUGCGGCCUAACAUGGACAAAUGAGUAAUGGCUGAUUGACCAGCUGGAAAUUAAGAAUCGCUCUCCUCCCCUAUUUGCUUUAAAAUAUUGAAAAAAUAGGUGAAUUUUUCGUGUAUAAAUAGAAUGCAAGAGAAGAGGGGAAAAUUACCUGGGCUAGCUACACUUAAUAAUUUUACAGUUGACAGCAGAGUAUAUAUUAAAGAUGAUGCAGAAGAAGACCUUGGCAAUAGCUCUGGUGUGGCUCCUGGUUGCGUCGUCAAUCAUGAUGUGCACGUACGCAGCUGCAGACACUGCAUUUAAAACUGCUGACCAAGUUCUCCAUCCCCUAGCAGGUAAGAACGAACAUCCAUUUACUUAAUCAUGAAUCGCAUCUGUCCUACAAAUAUUCUGCAUAGUAUAUAUAUAUAUAUAUAUAUAUAUAUAUAUACACACACACUUACUAAUUAAGCGCAAUGUGUUUCGGUGCUUGAAUGCAUGCAUGCAUGUGCAUUUACGUAAUAUAUAAUUUAGAGUGUAUAUAUAUGUGUAUAUAUAUAUAUAUAUAUAUAUAUAUAUAUAUAUAUUCAUAGAACUAUAUAUGCUAAUGGAUACAUACACUACUUGAAGGUUGUCGCUGCUGCAACUUCAUUCGUGUGAAUGGGUUUAUCCAAUGCGGAAUAGUUUGUUGUGUGGAUGGAUGUUGCGGUCGCAAGUGAAGCACCUGCAAUGCAGCUACACAGACAAUAAUAUGAAUCAUGGUGGUGGUGUUGCACAAUAAGAUGAAUAAUGGUGGUCAAAAGUUGCAACAUCGCUGAAGCAAUCAAAGCCCCCCUUAUAGAUUUCCCUGUUUGUUUGUUUUGCAUUCCUAUCGAGUUAUAUAAUGUUUGUCGAAAAGAUCCUGUUUAAUGAAAAAUGUCUGGAAAUCUGGGUGUUUCAGCAGGAUUUCUUUAUGUUGAUGUAUGUAUGUAUGUCUACAUGAGGAUAUCUAUUAUAUAUACUAAAUCACAGUACAUGGCACCAUAUAUUGACAAAUGUCCUUCUACAAAUUCAACACUUGUCCAUCUUAAAUAGUUUUAAUUAUGUCACAAUUAUCUUAAUUAUAU